CAAUGUCACAUUCUGUAAAAAUUUAUGAUACAUGUAUAGGAUGCACUCAAUGUGUACGAGCUUGCCCAACAGAUGUAUUAGAAAUGAUACCUUGGGAUGGAUGUAAAGCCAAGCAAAUUGCUUCCGCGCCGAGAACCGAAGAUUGUGUGGGUUGUAAGAGAUGCGAAUCCGCCUGUCCAACGGAUUUUUUAAGUGUCCGCGUAAUAAAAAAAAACUCGUGAUUGGUGUGGAGGGGAAGAUCUGCUUAUGAAAUUGUUCAAGAAAGAGUCGUCUCAUUUCCUUAUUUCUUCGUUCUUUCGAAUUCAUUCACUUCGACGGCUGGCGCUACGCUAGCUUUGCAUGAUUAGCUCCGACAGAACAGGUACUGCAUUUCCUUAGUUGGAUCCGCUCUUUCUCUCUCGUGCAGUUGUUGCUUCCGGCUAUUUAUUCAGUCGUCAAUCAGCAUUGAUCCGGGUAGUUAGUCAGUCUCUCUCUUUUUUCCCGUCCUUCUCUAUCUAUGAAAUUCCUAAUUAAGGGAGUUCGCUUUCCAAUAUCUAAAUGUUCAUGCAAAGCAACAAACGAAAUGCAAGAACUGUCACGCAGAAGUCACACAGUAUGCUGAUCGUUCUGAAAUGGUAAAAAGUAUUGGAUUUCAUAAGAGAUUCAUACAUAGAGAUCUAAACUCAUGGAAGGGCCCGGCCACUUUACUGCUUGAUAGCGGCACUGGCUCGUUCUGGGCAAUAAGUCGACACCACUCUUACUUCCUUCUUUUGAACUUGUGUAACACCACUCGGCACUUCUUUUGUCCUUGUGGAAUAGAGAAAAGUCUGUUUUCUAGCGAAACUCGAUCUCGAUAGUAAAUCAUUGGUACGUACGAGUCCCUUAUUUGUUGAGAAAUUCUUUGUUGAUUCGCCUAUUCCACGCUAAAAAAAGGGGGACCGAGAUCUUCUUUGAACGACUGAUCUGCGACUUCCUUCCGCUCGUGUAUCAGCAAUAGAGUUUGUUUGACAACAGAUCCCAAUGCCACCUGCUUUUAGCCAAUUCGUCACUACUACUACUCUUCCUCGGAAACUCAUCCGAAUCAGAAAAGGAUGAUUCCCUAGUGGGAAAUGGGAAAAGUACUACCAGCUAUUUGACCUCGAUAGCCUGCCCCAACUAUCUAUUCUCCUCAGGCACCUUCCGGCAAGGCAUCCCUACUAGAAAUCAGAAAAAAGGCCACUUUUCUGAAACGCACUUUCUUCUUUUCCAUCCAUAGAGGGAAAAAGGACUUGUCAACUUUUGCUGCUAUAUGAAACGGAAGUGGCGAUCGCUGAUGCACCAAUACAACCUCUUGAAAGGCCUCCCUUUUCCUAGUGUUCGGAAACGGAAAACCCUGAACCUGGAGGAGUUAGGUAUGUAGGAUAUGCUUUUUAUUUUUUGUUGGGCAGGCAGUAGUAUAAUUUUGAUACUCUGCAGUAUAAAUUCGACUCCCAACCCUUUUUUUAGAAUAAAAUUGUUGAUAAAACUCCAACAUAGUUUGUUCCAAAUCCACUAUAAUCCUUGUAGAAUAGUCAAGUACCCCAUUUCCAAGGGGGUACCUGUUGAAAAUCGUUUCAACAAAUCCGUGAUACAAGAUAAGAGAACGCUGACCCGGAAAGCUAUGAACCGCCAAUGGUGACUACUUAGGCUAGAUUCUCACCGGCACCAGAGAGAAUAGAAUAGUUGUCUGUGUCUGUCUCUUUACCGGAUCCCCUAUACCUAUCCUGUCCUGCAAGCGGCAAGAUAUCCAGAACUAGGCGCUGCCUCGCAUUGCACCUGUCAAGCUUAUACCUGUUACGGGUCGCUCAUCUAGAUCCGGAUAAGAAGAACUUUUCCCUCAUCCUCUUCUUUAGCACUGGCCAUAGCUCCAUCCAUCGAGGGAUGCCGGAAGUCAAUCGAUUCUCGCAACAUAAGAGAACCAAGUCUACGAGCACACAACACAGGGCUUCACCCAAUCUGUUUCUUACUUCUCCCGAAUAUCCAACUGACUUAUUAAUUUCUUAUAACGUACUCUAUUUUUCUUUGCCAAAUAAGCCAGCAAACGUUGACGUUUUCCCAAAAGUCUUCGUAGACCUCUUUCCGAUGAAAAAUCUUUUUUGUGUAAUUCUAAAUGUGAAGCAAGUCUCCGUAUCUUAUUGGUGAAACUGAAUACUUGAAAUUCAACAGAACCCCUGUUUUCUUGUUUUUCUUCUUUAACCAUAAAUCAACAAAUUUUUCUACCUCCUUUCUUUUUCAUGUAUUUUUCUGAUCAGGAAAAAUAAAAAAUUAUGUCAGUUAUUUUUAAGUUAUUCUAAUCUCGUACACACAAAAAUUUGCAAUUAUUCAUCUACUGCUGGAAUCUGGAAUUUGGAUUUAUUUUAUCGAUGCAAAUUGGAUUUGGAUAGAAGGGUACAUUCUUUUAUUUUAGAUAGAAGAAACAUUUCUUCUAUCUAAAAUAAAAGAAUUUUGCUGAUUUAUUUAUUGCUAUAUCCAAUUUAUAGAAUUGAUAUACCAUUUAAUUGAUAUCAUUUAGCAAAAUGAAACACAACAUAUGCAUCCAUCUUUGGGCUCGAGAAUUUCACGGGAUAGAGAUAUAGUAUAAGAAAUAGGCUAUUAAGUAACUCUAAAUGAAUUGUGGAUACAUCUGUAUCCUUAACAUACUGAAACGACUGCCAUUAUUCGUAUCAAACCAAUAGCGAUUCAUAAAAGCUAAAUCUUGUAAUCAAUGGUGGGCCAAUAAUGAAUUUUUUUGCAUAUGUAUUAAGACGCUUGGUCUGAUUUCGAAAUUGUCCAGAGUUUUUUAUGUUGUUUUCAUUGCAAAAUGAUGGAUCUCCUUCCGUAACUUUCCAAUUACGAGUACGAGAAUUGAAAGAUAGAACACUCAUAUCGAUAAAAUAGUUUGAACUAUUUACUAGAAGGGCACGCAGCCCUUUUUCCAAUGCCAAAUCGACGACCUAUGUAUAAAAAAAAGAGAAAUUUUUUGGAUUUGAAGAAAAAAUAAAAGGAAUUCUAUCAAUUUUUAUUUUCCAUUUAUUUAGUUUGUUUUUCUUAAUGAAAUUGAAAUUAUUAACUAACAGAGCAAACACAAAUAAAGAUAACUUUCCAAUUACGAGUACGAGAAUUGAAAGACAUGAAAAUUCUCAAUUCUCUACGGCGUCUAGGAGAUGGAUCGAAUAUUUUCAGGAACAAGAAAAUCAGAAGAAUCUUUUUCUCUAUUCACUACCAUUCCGCGUCUUCGACUUCUAUUAGUUUCUUUUCUUCUUUAAUGCAAUAGCUAUAGUUUGAUAUAGAAUCCAUUUCUCAAAGUAAUGGAAACCAUUCUCAAGAGGUGUGGUGGGACUGUGGGAGGGUUUAAACGCAAAAACAGCAGACAACGUUGGAUUCAGAUUGGAUGGUUUGGAUGGACUGAUGGUAUGCUUGCACAAGAUAACGGAUUGCACAGGAUAUGACCCCUUAGAUAAUUUUAAAAUGACGCAAUACGACCGUUGAAACUGAUGAUUUAAAUAUAUAGUAGAGACUAGGAGAGUGCCCGUGCGUUGCAACGGGAACGUAUAAAACCACGAUAAACUAUGUACAAAUGUGUGUUAUACUUUUAUAGGUUAGUGCUCGUGCGUUGCAACGGAGACAUAUAAUAUAUCGAUAUCUUAUAUAUGCAUGUGUGUUAUAUAUACAAAAUGUGUCUUAUAUUGUUAUAGUAAGAUGCUCGUCCUAACGAUACUACGAACCUAAGGCUGCCUCCAAUGGAGCAGCUAAAAGGGUAUGCAAAGCUAUUAUGGCUACUCAUAUUCACUGUAGCACCAUGCAUCUUCCAUCCAACAGAGUAGCCAAACAGAGCAGCCAAAUUCCAUGGCAGGUGAGAGAAAAGCUAUUAUGGCUGGGCAGGAACUGAGCAGGCAUCUCUGAUGCAAAUUGGUGGGCCAUUCUUAUCAGUGAGCAUGAGGCAAGCUAUUUUUGCUAUACCAUUGAAAAGUGUUAUAUUAUAGAUGGACAGCUAAAACAUCUACGUCAGCCAACAUGUUGAAUGCCUGCUUCUUUUAGCUGCCGCAUGUUGGAGGCAGCCUAAAAGGCAAUAAAAUUAAUUAGUGGGUCCUGGCAGGCCACCCAGGUUGUUACGGGUCCGGAGGAUUCGCAGCCACGAGCUCCGAGCAUGCAGGCAUCAGAACCGGUCUUCGGUUGAAGGGGAGGAGGAGAGGGAUGACAGAUGAGCCCUACCAGGCAUUGAGCGCGCGGUCGGCUGUCAAGUGGUCCCAAGUGGUCAGGGCGCGAGCUGAUUUGCGGACACGCGGGCUUGCGCGGUUGCUAGGCUGGGCCACGAUGACAACACGUGUAGCGUGAGGAUGGGCCGCGCGGUUGUACAAGGGAGGUGGGCCGGAAUGGGGAUAAUCGGCCCAGGCAGGGUUUCUUUCUUAUUAUUUUCUUUUCUUUUCUUUUCUUUUUCUAUUAUCCUAUUUCUUUCCUUUCCAUUUCAAAUCCAAAAUUUGAAUUCUAUAGUGACGGCAAAAUAUGUGAUCUGUUUUCUGUAUAUUGCGAGAAGCACUUUCAUGAAGACCUGGAGGAAGUGAGAAGAAACUGGGGAAUUCUACCAUGCCCUAGUCCCAAAUAGAACAGUGUAUAUAUUAGUCCCAAAUAGAACAGUGUAUAUAUAGACAGGCACAUUCUACAUGAACAGUUCUGCAUCAUGUAAUGUCAAUAAACUUUUGAUUAUCUGGCAAACGUGGCAUUAAAAAAAGAUGGAAAUGCGGCACAACUUUGCUCAUGCUGGUUCAUCAAAUUUACACAGAACUCUUCUUGCCGAGGACAUGGCCUCCCUCAAAAGAAUUACACUAUUGUAAGUAUGUGUAACACGCGAAAAGAACACAAUAAUUACAUGGCUCAAAACUUACAACACAACACAAGGUAGUGUGUACUACCCAACACGGUAUAAAAUUAUGAAGCAGCAGUAGUGCACAAGACACAGCGCAUGCGAGACUGGCCUGAUGGGGAACCAUCCUCAUCGUACAUGCCUCCGUCACUAUCCUGACCACUGUUUGAUCUCAUCGAGUCUAAGCCACCUUCAAGGCAAGACAGAUGAUACGCAUGGCAGCAGUAGAACACGAUGACAGAUAUGUCCUGGAUAGGCAAAGGAUCGAAGCACAAACAACACCGGGCACCACAUCUUGUUCUGGACUUGAUAUCUAGAGCCCGGACGCUAGAUGAUCUCUCGUGUCCCCGCGAUGAUCCAUCGUCAGCUCUGUUUCCGUGUACCUCCUCGUCCAUGCUUACCAUGUAUACCCCACGCCGAGCCUCGUGGUAGUAUUUAACCAAAAGGUUAACACAGUCAGCUUGAACAAAGCAAGUUUCGGAUGAAAAUGUCCAAAAUUCGAGAUGGUUGAGGCAUGGAGCAGCACAGUAUACGAAAGAAAGUAAACCUUAAGUAUAUCGUUGCAUCCAUUUCACAAUGAAGUUUCUGUCCGGUAAUCCGUCACAAUUUUCACAAGACGAUCCUGCAACCUAUCAAAAGCAUGAGUGAACACUCAACCAGGGGAUGAAAUGGUUGGAUUAAGAAUCAUGGCAGAUCGUUUUGAGUAUAUUUGCCAAGGUUUCAGUCAUGCAAGAAAUUCUGUAGCUCAGUUCUUUUAUGAUAAAUUUUGAUGGAACAUACCGAGGUAUUUCUAAGCCAUCAGGAACCAAACUGACAAUGUACAGAGGAUCAAGAUUGCCAACUGUAUGUUCCAAUAGAUUCCCUACCUGCCCAACAGACAUAGAAAUUGAACUAAGAAACAGAAGAUGCCUCAGUCUAAGCAAGAUUAAGCAUCAUUUAUUUCAGUUACCAUUUCAGGCUUCUGGAGGCAUUGUCUAAUCAGUUCCUCCCACAGUUCAUCAUCAUGCUGUUCCGUAACAAAUUCAACAGCCUGUAUGCAUAUUCAAGAUGCAUGUUACUGUUCAAUCCCAUAUAUCAAGUUGGCUAAUAUAGAACAACAUGUCUCAGAAAUGGUAAUAUAAUUGGUAGGCAAGUUAGAACCUCCUGCAUGUCUUCCAGUUUGUUUAUAAUUGUCGACAGAGCUUCCUUAGCAUUGCCCAUUCGACCAAGGACAAAACUUGCUCCCUUACAAGUUCUUUUUGUGCAAAGAUUUCAUAUGCCUGAAUAACAAUAACAAAUUAUCAAGCCUAUGAUUAACUAAAUAGAAAAUUUUAUGAUGUGAUUCUUUGGGGAAACUAUGACCUUGUCAAGCCUGUAAUGCUGACUGGUUAGAAGGAAGGGUAGUAGCAUCCUUGUCUCGUAGUCUGCAUAAAGCUCCACCUAUAAUGCAAACAGUUUUGACUUGCAAGUUAUUGUCAAAACACAAAGUAGAUGUAAAAAAUAAUUGGGGAAAUGGACAUGACAAUGGAAGGCAGAAAAGAUACCUGCAUAUCAUGAAAAUCCUUUCCAGCGUGUAUAUCUAUCUCAAAUAAAGCAUGCAAAUACAGGUGUAACAAAUAUCUCUUGUCACAUUUUUUACUGGUAUGCAACAGCUGCUCCACAACUUCAUAUGGGAGAAUGAUAUCACGAUGUUGGGUCCGUAGGUGAACUGUUCUUUUAUUGUCCACUAUCAUAAGAUUGACAAUCUGAAGAAUAUUAAAAAAAGUGUUUAAGUCAAGGAUAUGGAAUGCUUUUUCUAAAACGUACCACUGUAGAAUGUAACUUUGUAUUAGCAGCUAAAUUGGACUCCUCCAUUUUGAUACCUUAUCAUGAAUAGCAUCAUACAUGUUGUAUUUCUCAAUAAACUCGAAUACUUCUGGCUUCAGGAGCUGAACCAAAUGGGUUUAAUUAGAAAGAAUUUGACAAUAAAAAUGUAUAUUUUGAUAUGUGCCUACAAAUACAACUUUAGGAUGUACUUACUUCAGCAUAAAGAGAAAGUGCCUUUUCGUAUUGACCAUUGAUCACAUACAAUUCAGCUAAUGACUACAUGGCACAUAAGGCAGAUAUCAACCAAAGAGGGAAAGAAUAUGAAGUGUAAAUAUAUGUUUUACAUUCAUUAAAUGAUGUCCCUCCCCACCUCUUCAAUGAAUCAGCCAUCGAUGAGGAGUUUAGCUGUGGCUCAAUGGCAGAUAUGACCGGUGAGGCUGAGUAUAAUGUCGGUGGCUUUCCGCUAGCUAGCAGAACACGUGACAUGGUCAACCCUCAACAUAUAAUUCAUCUGAUUAUCAGGCUAUUACUAUAAUAAGGUUGAUGCUGUCAACUGCAAAACCUCAUAGAUUUGUAGAGUCACUAAAGCUUAUAAUAAAAAUAUUCUACAAAGGCGAGGUGGACGACUGAUCAAGGCAAGGACACCGAGGCAGGGCUGAUCUACAACGCAGACUACAACAGCAUGGCGAUGCACGCUAGCUCUCACCAACGAUGAAGCCCAAGCCCAAUCACCCCACCAUAAAUAGACCUCGCUAUUUGUAAUGUUUCUCUAGUUUCGUUUGAGCUACAACCAAAAUCUAAGAGGGUGGCAACUGAUCAACAUGCUGCUGUACGUUGACAUUGUAAUGCAUAGCUCUUCAGCUUUUAGAAUGUGACUGUCUAUUUAUGAAUAAUGUUUUCUUCAUGAACUGGUUGUAUACAUGUAGCAAGUUUGCCUCAUUUGAGGAGUUAAUUUAAGCGAUUAUCUAUUUUGUUGUCAAUAUCAGUACCUUGUGAUUGAUGAAAUUUGAAAGUGUUUAGCUAUAUUAAAUGCAACUCAUAAGGAUGACAGUGGAUUGAAAGAUAAGGAUCAGAAAUUAUUGUUUGAAGAUGAGAUAUCUGAGGAUGAACAAGCUGAACAGGCUACUCCACAACAGGAAUUGUGUGUUAUGCCAACAGAUCCUAGUGACUUGCAGAUAUAUUUUUAUUAUAUGUGCCUUAGUCUGAAGGCAUGAAUAAUACAAGUUACUAAAAAUGUCAUUUAGGUCAAGUCAAUUAUGUAUUCAUGAUCCACAUACAAGGAAUCAUUAAAUAUAAGAACAUAUUCUCUACAAAUAUCAAUCAUGAUCCUAUCACACAUUUUACUAUUCUUUUAAAUGACUCGGAUGAAAUGAUUAACUGAAGUCUAGAAAAACCAUAACAGAAAUAUGCAUCAUCCAUUGAAAAAGCACAACAUUUACAUAUAAUUACCUUUCGAAGCCUCCCAAAAAUGAUUUGAUGAAGAAACUUAAGCUCGACAAGUAUUUUAUUUGAUAUUCUCUUCGCAACUGCAAACAUUUUCAGGUCUGAAUCAUCAGAGUAUAUAAUAAUAAACACUUGCAUCCAGAAUUGAAGUUGUGAGUUAUUGAACUGUAGAAAAAGGAUGUGUAUUUUUGAAAGGCUUCUUCCAGUUCAAGAUAAUUUGUCCAGUUUACUGGAAUGUUUUGUUUGAACAUAGCCCUCUUAAUCAAAGAAGCAUAUAAUCAGACUAACAAGUUGUCUUAUUUUUACUGGUGGAACACACAAAGUGAUAGACAUUGUUCUUUGUUCAAACUGCUUCCAUAAUGCAAAAUUUAGUACUGGGCAUUCAAGCUUAGAUUUUCAGAGAGUGGAUGGGAUGAAAGAUGGAUCUAGAAAAAAAUGAUGAUAAAUAUCAUAUAUUGUAGUUCAGAUGAAAAUAUAAGUCUUAGAAAGAGAUCACACAACAUGAAAUAAUUAUGCCUAUUUAGACAUUGAUAUUUUUUAUUUUUAGGUUGCAUAAUAAUUGGAGAUGUGUACCAAUGGAUGUUAGUACUCUUUUCAUCUGAAUAUCGACAUGCAAAUGCAUUAAGAUUUGAGAAUAGUUUCCAUCUGAUGAACUCAAUUCAUUUCUAGCAGACUAUCCACUCUGAUAUUGCUAAAACAGUUGUAUACUGUUAUGAUAUGAGCUAGCUCCAUAAAAUUGUAUAUAUUUAAAUGGCAAUGAAUAGGUAUAAGAGUAAUCAAUCACUAACAAAGACAUGGUUUACCUUUUUCUUAAGAUGAUUAGACAAAUUAUAUUGUGUACUGCUAGGUUAGAACUCAAUAGCACAAUACAGAAACAAAAUGAAAUGAAAUGUCUUAUGGUCAAAACUCACCCCUCAGAUAUGCUCCAAGCUAUAAAUGUUAUCAACACAUAUGGACUGCUCUGAACCUGCAAUUUCCAAAUGUUAACUAAAACUUAAUAGCCAGGAUUGAAAUCACCAAGAAGCAAAACACAACAACAUUACAUAAACCCUAGCAAAAAGCAUCUUCUAUAUAUGUGCACAAGAGGAAUCCCUCUGAUGGCAAAAUAUAGCUUAGGCAAAAUACAACUUAGGUAAGGGUAGUUUCUCUUUUUCAAUGACCAUUUCAGUACGUAACCAAUGUUUUAUUUUCAAAAUAUAUUCAGAAUAUCAAAAAUAGACCAUAGAUGUGCAAAAAAGAUAUUCUUGUGUACCUAUAUCUGAUUGGUUGAAUGCUUGAUUUGAUUGAAUAAUACUACUUUUUUAUGGUAGGCGUUUCAGAAAUGAGCUUACUCAAGCUAUAUUAAAAGUGACCAUAACAUUAGGUAAGACAUGAUUUUGACUGUGAGCAGGUAGGGGUGCUGCUUCUAAUAGUUGUCAUCAAGCAAAUUUUGAUUUGGCUCCACAACAUAGGUGCAUAAUGAUUCUUUGUGCAAAUAUGAACCGUAAAACACAAACAACAAAAAUCAGAUAUAAACAAAUUGGGUCAAAAAAACAGUGCCAACUACUCCAUUAUGUUUUAUUUGUUGACAUUUUUAUGGUCUUCUAGGUGGACUAUCAAUAUUUAUAUAAUAAGGGUAUACUAUAAUCAUAAUUUAUCUAGAGUCAAUUGGCUGAAGGUAGACCUAUAAUAACACUGCAAUCAAAGGGAUAACACUGGGUAUGAAAUCAUAAUACGAGGACAAUGCAUACGUCUACGACGGUUACUGGAAGGAAAAGAUCCCAAACAUUUGUAAUAUAUGCAGGUUAUGCAGAGUAACAUACAAUAAUUUAUUGGAAAAUAAUUCUAAAACAACAAACAUGCCAUUGCCUGCUAGGACUACCAAAUGGGACUUACAUUUACUUCAAAUUGUUAGGCCUCAAGUUUGUUGGAGCUGUAAACAGAACAAGGGGAGGGAAGCUACAUAUAUUACAAAUGUUUGUCAGAAACGAGGAAACAACCAAACAGUAGUGGAGCUGAUUGAAUCCAUUUACCUCUGCUUCUAAAGGCUUCCCAGUUGCUUCCCAAUGUAAUCACAGAACCUUAGAUCAUAUCAUAGCAAGAAGCAUGGUUCAGCUCAACUAUGAGGCCAUCCAUCUACAUUCCAAAUUGCAAUCAAUGACAGGAAACAGAACACAAGAAGACCAGCAACCAGGAAAGAUCUUGGGCCAAAAAGGCACAAGUGCAAUUGUAAGGAAGGGAAAAUAGCGCAGCAUCCAUGAACUAAACCCAAUCAGAUAUUCAUAUGAGAUGGAAUUGAGCGGGGGCGACGACCGAAUUAAAGUUACAAGGCAAAAACUAAAGGGAGGAGGAAGAGCGGUUGCACCUGUAGUAGCGAGUUGUGGCCGAGGGAUAGCUUCUCCUUGACGUGCUGCAUGCGGAGGUCACCGCUACAGGUAGGGGUGGAAACGAGCCGAGCCGAGCUCGGCUCGGCUCGGCUCGCUGCGGCUCGCUCAUGUAACGAGCCGAGCUCGGCUCGGCUCGCCUAUCUCACGAGCUCGAAAAAGCGGCUCGGCUCGGCUCGCUCCUGGCUCGCGAGCCGGCUCGCCGAGCCAACGAGCCUAGGCAUAAAAUUAAAUCUGCUCUCUAAAUUAUAAUAUAAAAUCUUAAAAAUAUUUUAAAUAACAUAUUUUAAAUUAGUAAAAUAGAUAUAUCACUAAUAUAAUAUAUAAAAUAGAUUAUUUUUGUAUAGUACUCUCAAAUAACAUAAAUUAAUUAUCUACUCGGUAUUAAUAUUAUAUGCUAAUUAAGAUUUUAUAUAACAAAUUGUUGUUGGGUCGAGCCACGAGCCAGCUCGCGAGCUGUACCGAGCCGAGCCGAGCUGGCUCGCUCUUUUCACGAGCCAGAAAAACAGGCUCGGCUCGGGCUCGUUCGGAGCGUCGAGUCGGUCCGAGUCGAGCCGAGCUACUACGAGCCCGAGCCAGCUCGUCGAGCUCGAGCUUUUUUUCCAGCCCUAGCUACAGGCAGUGCACUUUUUUCAGCUAAGGAAGAUUGGGCACACAAUUUCACAUAUAUGACAUAUCAUCAAAUUUGGAACUGUCAUGGAUGACACGAAUUUAUAAGCACCCCCUAGUUCUUUGGGUAUUCUCUUGCACCAAAUAUGGUUGACCCAACUCUUACAUUUGUGCUUCCCAUUUCAAUCUGCAGGCACAUAGAAAACAAUGUAUGUCUAUAUUAACGUAGCUAUCAGCCUACCAUGCCUCUUCAACACUCAUAUAUCACAGUAUUUCCCUUACUGUUUGUUCAAAGUCAGAUGACAUGUCCACAAAUAGUUCGAGCUGCUCUUCCGGUAUUCCAAGCUCCUUGCACACAUCUUCCCGACAGUUGGCUAGUGCCUAUGAAUUUAACAUACAUAAUACACGUUAGUGCACAUAUACAUGCCAUAUUGCCACUUCGAUAGAACUUCUAUAACCCAGAGUUAUACAUUACCUUGAAAUUCUUCGGAGUUGAGGAGUAAUCAAGCAUCCCAAUUAUCAUCAAACCAGACAACACAAGGUUAGGGUUGUUCAAUCUGACAUGCUUUGCUAGUUCGACACAUCCUGAGGGAUCUACUCCAAUUUUCGCUGCAGUUAAAAAAAUAGUAUUCAGAAGUAUGUUAUGAGAAACAUAUAAUGCACGUGACUGAUCACCAAGAACAGUUAGCAUCAUUGUGUCAGAAAAUCUGCAGCAUCAGAGAAACCAAAAUGGGGACUAACUGAAUGGCCUACAAGCAUGUGUGGAAGUAGUUUAAAUUAUCCAUUAAAAAUAGGAAUGGUCCUGUUGCAACAACGAAGACACAUUAUUGAUCAUUAUUUUAUAAUUAUUUUAUCACCAUGGCAAAAAUAGAUAUGGCAUAUGCUAUGAGUUAGAGACAUACCUUUUGUUAUUGUCAUCUCAAUCUAGUCGGCUUAAAUAAGUUGAUCCAUAAGCUAGAUUAUAUAAUCCUGUAAGGAAAUAAACAGGGCCUUACAAUGUCAUGCUUGUGUUUAUGUACACGUGCUAGCUAGUUAUCUAAGGCUAGAUUUCACCUGCACAAUAUCAUGACGAGGAACCCUCGGAAGUGGUUCAACUUUGUAUCCCUUGGCUGACAUGACUUCCGCAAUGAGCAAACCUCCCUGUGGAUCAUAUUAUAUCAUCAAGUGCAUGCAUUGUAUCUCCACCCAUUUGCAGUUAGCAAACCUACUUUUACUGCUUCUCCAACCAUUUGCGGACCAAGAAACAGGCCUUGAAACAGCGCACGCAUAACAUGGCCAGGUGUUGACCCAAAUUCCACCCCAAGGCCAGGUGCAGAUAGACGGGCUGCAGCUGCUUCGACUAAAUGCUCCUUCCCAGCAACAUAACCACCACAAGGCGCAAUAGUUCCACCUGGAUUCUUUAUCAAACUUCCAGCAAUCAAGUCUGCUCCCUGCCAUGAAACACGAGAUGAAAAAGGAAUCGUCUUCAGGAGGAAGUGAAAAUCAUGGACAUACCACCAUUGCAGGUUCCGAUAUCUCAACAAAUUCACCAUAGCAAUUAUCAACCAUCACCAUGCAGUUUGGAUUUUGCAUCUGCAAUGAUAUCAAAACCAGAAAAAAAUUGUCACCACAGAGAAAAGCUACUAUAGAUACAGAAGGUUGAUGGUCACAAAACACAACAAUCUUGCCUUGAUCAAACCUAUAGCUUUGUGAAUAUCUGCUACACUUAAGCUCUUGCGCCACGAAUAUCCACACGAUCUCUGUAUGAAGGCACACCCAGUUUCCGGCCUGAUGGAGCAAGCAAGAGCAUCCCAAUCAAGGCCACCAUCUGCUACAAGCUAUAACUUUAGUCUCAUCAGUAACCAUCCACACUUCCACAGGCUACAGCACAUGGCGACACACAGUAGGCACUACAGGGUAGUGAAGAGAGAAAUUGACGCACCGGAACUUCUCGGUACGUCACUCCGAAAUCCUUGAGUGACCCUACAUUGGCCGACCCCCUGAUCCCAAUCACCUCCUCCAAAGUGUCGUACGGGGGCCCAGCGACUGCCAGGAGCUGCAGGAAUCCAACAUUAAUCAGUCUCAACUCUCAAAUGUCACUGCCAAGAAUAGUUCAUUCAGUUCAUCCUAUCCCUACCUCAUGCCCAGGCCUCAGAAGCGCAAACAACGCACAGGCAAUGGCGUGGGUACCGGAGAAGAACUGGCAGCAGUGGAGCAAUUAGUUGAUUGAUUCAUCAAAGAGGAGAGGAGCUCGGUUACACAGUACUGUAACCAUAAAAAACGAGAUUGUGUUGUGUGCGGAGGUGGGACCUGCGGGCGCACAAUGGCAGCCUCCGCGCCAACAAUGUCGGCGAAGACGGAGUCCAACGCUUCCCGGCCGCCACCGUCGUCGUGGUCGUACCCCGUGGACCCACCGAAAUGCUGAAACAAACACACGCCACAAACGUGACUCUGUGUUCACCUGCGGUGUGAGCUCAGAUGCCAAGCAGAGGACCAGGGUGAAACGAAGGGGAGCUCGGAUGCCAAGCUUAAUCAAUAUGCUCAACACAGCUAGCACGCAAAUUGCAAACAUGUAAGAACAUCUAUAGACAGCUCUACAAAGACAGAUAUCGUUUUCAUUAAGAACUCAUGAAGUCACAAACUUAGUAAAUUACCAUUCAUUAAAACUGAGGUAGUUCAAAAGUUCAUAAUAAACAUGAUCGACAGCUGUAUAGACAACAUCCUUCAAAAGCAUUCCAGCAGUAACAUAUGUUUCUUAUGGUGGAGAAACAGACAUAGCUUCACGAAGAACAAAAACAAUUGGAGCUAAAAGCUAAACUGACACAUGAUAAUUUGAGCAUUAAAGCAUUCAAUAGACUCACAACCACGAUGAAAAAAGGCUUCAACACAUGGCCGUUUUGUCUCGGUCCACUGAACCAAAUUCUGCUCGUGGCGAAAGGAAUCAUGAUUUUCUGACCACUCUUCCAAAUCCUUUACUGUGUACAUGAAGUAUCUACAAAAUAAUUGCAGCCUUCUAAGGUACUUGAAGGAUAAAAAAUCUUAAAUAAAAAGAUAAAUAAGAUACAAAUGAACAAAACAUCAUGUGUGUGGAACCGCAGAUGUAAUAUGAAAACCAGGAAAAUUACAAAAUAUUCAAUGUCGCUCGUUCUACUGGUAAGACACAAAUGGAUUUAUUAAGCAUGGCAUGGUUCAUUAGACACCAAGCUGGACACAAGAAAACCGAGAAGGGACUAUCACAUAACUUUUGCACGGGUUUGAUCAGUCUCAGCCAAGUUUACUAUCUAUGUUUAUUGGUUAAAUUGAACUAAAAUUGCCACACAUGUUAUGUACAGAUUCACGGAUCAAUCACAUGAAGGGAAAGUGCGCUAGAAAGAUAUGCAUGUUUCCCGUUAACAAAGUCACCCACAAACUAAACAGAGAUAGUAAACUUGCCUCAAUGCUCAACUAUUCUAUAAUCUAUUUUUUUACUCAGCUAUAUCCCCACCAGAAAAGAAUUCAGUUGUUGAAUCAUCAUAACCAAUCUUCUAUAUAUGCAUCAGAGAAUCAGAGAUCUCAAGGUAUAAUUCAAAGAAUCAGAGAUCACACUGGAUACUUAAUUUCUAUCUAUACAAAAGUGGUAGUUGGUGUUAGACGCUUCCCUGCCGAUGCGGAAGAGCUCGAUGAGGUUGUAGAACUGGCCGUGGAUGUCACCACACAUAGUGACGGGGCAACGCACGGGCUGUACGUUCCACUCCUCGAUGAGGAUCGCCUAUGCCUGCUCGCAUAGCGCCUUGACCUCCACUGCCUGCAUGAACUUGCAAUCCCAUAGCUACGAGAUCUGGUGGUCCAGAUCCGUGUGUGACGGCGUCACCACUACGGUUCUGCUCUACCUCAUACAUCCCCUUCCCUCCCCUUACCUAGUUCCUGCCGCUGCCACCCCAGCAGGCACAGCCGAGGAGGAGUAGGACCCAGCAAGGCCGCCGGUGUGGAGGGGUGCUAGGGGUAUUUGUUUUGCGGGGAAACGCGGGCAGGAUGGUGGGUGGAUCCGUCGAGAUCCUCGGUUCCCUUGCGAUAGAAGCGGAUGGCGGGCGGCACGAUAGGCGAGAGGUAGAGUGGGCAGGGAAACACGAAGGGCGGGAUGGCGGGUGGGGAAACGCGGAGCUCGACGCGAGAGGGGCGGGUUUGCAGAGCUGGGCCGGCCAAGAUCCUCGCAUGUCUGCGAGGAGAGCAGGCUGGAGGUUGGCAAGGCUCACAGCGAGGAGAUCGAGCUGGUGGUUGCCUGGUUGGUGCGGAGCUCGGCCGACCGAGAUCGUCGCGACGAGGAGGAUGGAGGUUGCCGAGCGCAUCGGGGACGCCGUGGAUCCUGGAGCGCACGAACCGGCGGUAGAACCCCUCGAGGUCCUCCUCCUCCGACACAGAGACGCCGUCGAGGGUGAAGUCGCGACACCCGUCGGCGUCGCCGCGCACGGCACGGCCGUCCCGCCCCACGCGAACUCCAGCGCGGAUGAGACACCCGAGGUGAGGUUCCGGAUGCGGCCGAUCACCUCGACCGGGUGCUCCGUGGCGCCGCCGCCCUCGUCGGCCCUCCUCCACCGCCAUCUCCCGUCGCGUCCACCGUGUGCUCAGCAGGCGAUGGAGUCGCCACCAGGUGUCGCGGCGUGGCUGGAGGCGGAGCAGACCGCCCCGUCUUCGCCCUAGCUAGGGCUGCGAUGGGAAGAGAGGGAGACUGCCCCGUCUGCAGGAACCGGAUGUGCCAUUGGGAGGGGAGGGGACGGGAGGCAGGGCGGCGGUUGCGGGUGGAAGCUGGCAAGCGGCGAGCGGGAAGAUGGAGGCCGCGGGUCGGGUGGCGGCUGGUAAGCGACGAGGGCGCUGGAGACCACGGGACUGCUGAAGAUUAGGGUUUUCCAUUUGCCGUAUGUCAUGGGCUGCGGUGCGCGGGAUGGACUGCGGGAUCGGACGGCUGAGAUUUACACGAUAGAAUGGACGGCUGAGAUCGCAGAACGGCAAAACGGCAGAACGACAGACUACCCUUACCUUCUUAAUAAGUAGUAGAGAUUUGUCACGAGCGAGAACUGUUGUCAUUUCAUGAGACGUUACUCGGGAUGCACUUGUAACGGGAUAGUGUAGUAGCAAGCAUAGGAGUAAGGAGUUUUGCUAGUCUUCUUCAGCUUCAGUAGUUCAGUCCAAUCACAGAUCGCAGUACAACUGAACCCGCCUCCCGCACAAGGCAUCCAGGAUUUGUUCGGCCUUCGGACUUCGGAGGGUAGAGAAUCGAAGCGACGAGAACAAAGCAAUGAACGAGGCGGUGCAGGAGGCGAAGCUGCUGCGGCAGGUGAACGCGCUCAUCGUGGCACACCUCCGUAGCCAGAACCUCGGGCAGGCCGCAGCCGCCGUCGCCGCCGCCACCAUGACCCCCAUCUCCGCUGCCGAAUCCGUCCCCGCCAAUCACCUCCUGCGUCUCGUGGCCAAGGUCCCCCCAUUCUCCCCUUCCUCCUGCCUAGUAUUUGUUCUGAACGGGCCUAAACCCUCAUUAUUGGUUCGCAGGGCCUCGCCGCGGAGCACGGAGGAGGUGACGCCGCUUCCGCAUUCGACUCCGCCGGGUUCGGUGUGGCGGUGCAGCCGCCCGGCUCCAGUGCCGUGGAUUUCAGGUAAACCCCAACCUUGCGCACCCAUGGUGUUGCCUAGUGGCUUGCGGCAGUGUUUUUUCUGGUGCCGGACAGUGAUUGGCGAGGAGUGUUGACGCUGGUGCUGUGUUGUGCAGUAUUCAGGAUGUCAAGGGCUCAUCCAAAAGCUUCCCCAAGCACGAGGUGAAGCAUGUCUCUGACCAUAAGGUGCAUAUGAUUCAAGUUUUCCCUUGCUAAUGCGCCACUGCAAAUACUUUUGUGUCACUCUCCUGCCCAUCUGGAUAUUUGCUACUAUUUUUGAACAUUUUGCACUCGCCACAGUAUCAUGAUUAUGUAUACAACUUGAGAUUGACCCAGCCAUAGAUUUUACUGAUGUUCAUUGGCUUAUCAAGUUACCAUUGUAUUUGUCUGUAGAACGCUGCCCGGUGUGUGAAAUUUAGUCCUGAUGGAAAGUAUUUUGCAACUGGGAGUGCUGAUACAUCCAUUAAGUUUUUUGAGGUAAACUUGUUGGGUACUCGGCGAGCUUGUACUGUUUUGUACUUAGUUGCAACUUGCAACUCACUAUUGCUCUCUCUUGCAGGUUGCUAAGAUUAAGCAGACUAUGGUAGGAGACUCUAAAGAUGGCCCUGCCAGGCCUGUGGUACGGACAUUUUAUGAUCACACACAGGUGAGCAUGUAUUGUUCAUAUAUGACACUUUAUACAAAUUGUUUAUCAAUGACUGAAGAAUAUGAACUUUCUACUUAUGAUCGUCAUGUAUUGAAUUACAAUCAAAUUGCUUUGAGUCGGUUACCAAUCUCCAUAAUGGGAGAUUACACAAUUCAAACAAUUAAGAAUUCGCCUCAACGGAAGCUUAUGUAGAUCGACUGAAAAGACGAUUCCAUUUUCUUUCUUGUUCAAGGUCGUGAGACUCUUUUCAACACUUCCACAAGAUUGCCCCUGAGUUAGGUCUCCUGCAGUAUCCAUUUCCUUGAAUAUGCUGAGAGCUGCAUACCAUUGCAUUAUAGAAAGACUGAAAUACAUGUGUAGAUCAAUUCCACCUGCCACCACACUUAUAUACACAUACUCAAGUCACGUUUAGCACACUGGAUGCACACCUAGCACAUGCAGUUUAUAGUUAUAUAUUUGUUUACUGAGUUGUAUGGAGCAUUGACAUGGUAUUCAAUUUUUUAAUAAACAACAUUUUUUUUCCAUUUUCACUAGUUGCUUACUUUUUUUUCCCACUUCUCGAUAUUCCACUGUGCUUGUAAACAUGAUUGAUUUUUUGCAGGCCAUCAAUGAUCUGGAUUUUCAUCCUGAGAGUCCAAUACUGAUAUCAGCUGCAAAAGACAGUACAAUAAGGUAUAACCUUGAUGUCUACACUCUGUGCUGUUAAAUUGUCUAUUUGAAUUGCUCAUACUGAGAUUAAGCAUGAUUUUUUAAGUAAAUUCUUUUGGUAUUAAUUGCUAUCUGUGAUGUUGUUUUGUACUUGAAAAAAUUCGCUCAACAGAUUCUUUGACUUUUCAAAAACCAAUGCGAGGAAAGCGUUCAGAGUUAUUCAGGUUGUAAAUUCUAGCAAACCGAUCUAUCUAUAUAUCAUGUUAAAUAGUGUGUUCAAUUGUUCAUUGCAUUUAACCAGGCUCAUUUGUUAAUGCUGGGCAGGAUACUCAUAAUGUUAGAUCUGUAUGUUUUCAUCCUUGUGGGGAUUACCUUUUAGCAGGUAUUUAAAUUUGAUUUCUACUUCUGCUGUUAUUAACUGAUUCUUGAUUUCUGAUAUCAUUUUUUAUUUGCUCUGAUUUUUAUGCAUUAUAAGUUGUUAACACACUUUCAGUUGUUAUCUGUAAAGUAAUUUAAUCAUUUCACCCAAAACAAUUUGAUAUUCAGGCUUAAGAAUUUGGAUUUCAUUCCUGGAUUAACAGUUUCUAUCUCUUGGGCAUUUGAAAAAGAUUGCGAUCAUAUCUUAUGGAUUUUUCUUCUUUCAUAUAGUCAAAUAUUUCAUUCACACGCACACGCACGCGUACACAUAUUGAUGAAUAUCGUGGAAGCAAGUGACACUGAUAAAAUUAUUUGCAGGGACUGAUCACCCAGUUGCUCAUUUAUAUGAUAUAAAUACUUUUACAUGCUACUUAUCAGCAAAUGCACAGGAUUCUAGUUCUCCCAUUAACCAGGUAGCUUUUCUCUUUCCAUCUGAUUCUCAAGCAUUAGAUUGCAUUGGUUUUAUUCUCAUCAAAGGUUAAUUUUACUCCGCUAGCCGUGCUUACUGAUGUCGCUGCCAGGUACGCUACUCUUGUACUGGGAGCUUGUAUGUGACUGCUUCUAAAGAUGGUUCUCUGCGCAUUUGGGAUGGAGUAUCUGCUGAAUGUGUUCGACCUAUUAUUGGAGCACAUGGAUCAUCAGAAGCUAUUAGCGCGAUUUUCACCAAAGAUGAGAGGUAAGUGAGCUACCAGUAUGUCUAAGGUGUUCUUCCCUCAAGAUAUAAGAUCCAGCUAUUGUUUGGUUUGAAGAACAGAGAGAAAGACAUAUGCUGCAUGUUUGACUCAAGACAGUAACUACCUCAAACCCUGUUUGGAAUGUGGGAAUCUUGUAGUAAUUCUGAAUGAUUUGUAACAUGUCAUGCAGAAUCUCGUGUGUUUCAGACAGGUCUUAACUCUAUGACACGAAUAGCAACUAACAUCUCUUUCUCCUUUUCUCUAAUGUUUCUCCACUAAACUAAUCUGCCUAUAAGCACUUUUGAGGCUUCUUCUAAAAGGCCUAGUUUUUAAUGUUAUGAAUUGCACUAUAUUCAAUAUGAGAGCACUAGUCCCGAAUACAUACACUAGAGAUCGUGUGGAACAAGGACCUCCACAUAUUAGAGUGAACAAGAUCAAAAGGAUGUUGAGAAACAAACUCACUAGAACGGUAAGGAGGUUGUAUCUACUUUUCUAACUGACAACCCUAACACUGAUGUAAAGACCUACAACCUAAAACAGAGCCUAAAAAACCAUGACUAAUCGAAGUGGUAAUGGAGAGCCACAAAUAUGGCCUAGAUGAUGAUGCCACUGAACAAAAGACGAAAUCAACAUAGUCAAAACGACCCUAGCAAGACUGACACACGUAGCAGAAGUAAGACAAAGCUAGUAAUACUCUUAGGGUGCGUUUGGUUGGGGAGCCAACUGGGAUGGAGCGGCUCCAUUCCAGUUUCUAAGAAUUGAGCCAUUUCAUUUUGUGUUUGGCAAGCAGAACGGAACCACUCCAUUUUUUGUUUGGUUGAAGAGUAGAAUAGAGCGGAGCCGCUUCGUUUAUUGUUUGGUUGGAGAGCCAUAUGACUGUUGAGUGGAGGAAAGGGAUGAGAGCACUCGCAUCUGGUCGUUUUGGUGGAGCGAGAGCAUCCUAAAUAUUUGCUAUUUAUAGACUCAAGGAGCCGCUCCGCUCUCCUCCAUGGUAACCAAACAUCAAAAAAAUAAGAAUGGAGCCGUUUCAUUCCCCUCCGCUCCUCAAUCAAACACACCCUUAGAUGCGCUAAGAGUCCUGACAAUGAGGGCCAAUACCAACCAGGUGAUAUGUGCUUCGAUUCUGACACAACAAAAUUCUAGAUCAAGAAUAACACGAUAGUUAUUAUCAAUAAUUUGGUCAGCAGACAUGAGCUACAUGGUCAAAUCAGGAACAAAAGAAACAUCAGGAACCUGAGAGAAGGGUACUCUGACCAACAACGCAAAGGGAAGACCUGUUAGCAGUAUGGACAAUGAGAGAACGAGAUGAAGGACUCACAUCUGAAAGACAAAUGCAACGAGGAGUUAUAUGAAAGUAAGCACCAGAGUCUAUCCAAGGACAAGUACUUGAAGUGGAAGGGAGAGAUGGCCCCUUAAUGGAAGACAGAACUAGUAACAGAACCUGUAGGUGUAGGACUGAGUCACAGAACCAACAAAUCUUGUAGAUGUAGAGGCCGCAAGGUGAUGAAGUAGCCUCCAUAGUGGUAGUCAAACUCCCCCGAGAUCCUAUAGUACCAGCACCACCAGUACCCUAUGAAGAACGGCGAGCCUAAGCCUUCUUGAAUCAGUAGUCUUCCACAUACCCGUCACAAUCACAUAAGCACAAUGAAAAUCACCACGUUCCAUGCACAAAAGGCGCAACUGAAGACGACAUUGUCACUGUAGUAGCAGGUGAUCGUGAAGACAAAGAACUAACAAAGACUGCAACAGGCUAGCAUUACACAGACGAGUCUCUUCAUUACAGACACUAGCAAGCACAUCAAUCAGAGAGACACAAUGAUGAUGAGCGAGCAACUGAGCACAAAGGGGUUCAAACUCAUUACGAAGCCGGGUCAAGAAGUCGUACGUACGACGAAGCUCAAGUGCAACCUUCUAACCCUGGCAAGACUGACAAGUAUCUGGUGACAUCUCGGGACAACUGACACCAAAUAACAAUCAUCUAAGCGAAAAACUCAUCAAUUGUAGAAUCUCGAUUUCAUAAGAGUUGGUCCCAGUGAAUAGUAGCAAGAUAGGUAGACUAAGUAGUAGGCUCAUAAUGACCACACAAAAGGCCACAUCCGAUGUUUACCAAACACACAAACAUCUCGCUGUCAUAAGACCUGCUCCCGACGAAUAGUAGCAAGGUAGGUGGACCGACUAGUAGGCUCAUAACGGUCAUGCAAAAAAGGCGACAUCUGAUGUUCAAACUCAAACUCAACAAUAUUAGCAACAAGACGACCCUCCAUACUAGAGGCUAGAAUAACACUGACACGAACAUCCUUAUCCAAUCAAGUCAUGUAAGCACUAAACUAAGAGUCAUAGGAGGAAUCUGAUCAUCAUAGUCUGCGAGCAACUCCUCGUCAGUAGCCUUCUUUAGAAUCACUUGCGAUGUAUGAGUAGUGGGACAAGUAGGGCACAACGAAUCACUAGUGAGGAACUCCCAAAGGCGCAAACCACACAUGUAGACGCAUGCAUGAAACCUAGCCAUGAUAAUUGGUGUCAUUAAAAGCAUCAUAAAUCAUAGAACUAGAACACUACCAGACAAAGAGGUCAAAGACGUGGUCAUAGCAGCAGUUGACUCUCGACAGCGAGAGUGGAGCAACGACAGGCCUCGACAAAAGCGCAAAAGAAAAGCGGCACCAACUAAUUUUUUUUACCGGAACCUUAUAAAAACGACUAGAACCAAAUUUGCAAACUCGGAUCCGACCAAAACGGAUUCGGAAGGGGGUCUAUAUGCGCGAGCGGAAUACAACAACAGCACACAGACGACAGGCCCGAGCGGAACUCGGCCUCGCAUGGGAGCAGAGCAUUGGGUGUCAUUUCAUGAGGCCGUAACACGUGCAAAUGCGAUAGGUGAGAAAAAAUCGUAGAGAAGGAAGGAACCCUAACCCUAAAAAUUGGCUCUGAUACCAUGUUAUAACUUGCACUAUAUUCAAUAUGCGGUCAUUAGGCUCGAAUAUAUACACUGAUAUAUGAUAGAGAAUGUGUAGAACAAGGAUUCUAUAUAUGAGAUCGAAUACGAUAGGGACAUAUUCACAAACAUCUAACAAGGACUAUAUAUGAAACCAAAUACAACAAGGAUAUGUAUAGACAUCUAACAGUUACAAAGUUAUAUACAGUGUGAAUGCACUUGUAUAUAAGGGUGUGUUUGGUUUGGCUUUUGCCCCAUAUAAGCCAAAAGCCAAAGCCAAACCAAAAGGUUGGAUCCAGGAAGCAGUUUUUUUUGUAAAAGCCGACUUUUUCGCAGUGCAAAACUGAAAGCACCCCUGGACCUGCUUUUAGUGGCUUUCGGAUAGAACUGUGAAAACAUAUAUCGAAAAACUUUUAACGGCUUUUAGUGGUUUCCACCAAACGGUUUUUAGUUUUUUAACAGCUCACAGGCCAUAACAACUUUUUUCACAGCUUACAACCCACAACUUUUUUCACAACCACAGCCCAACCAAACAGAUCCUAAGAUUGAUCCAAAUAAUAUGAUGUAGUGAACUUUGACUACCCAAAUUACAUGUUUAGAUAAUGUUCAUGGAUUUCAUAAAACUGUGCACUGUAUUUUGGCUAUAUAUUAUGAAGUUUACUGUGUUCUUUCAGGUACGUCCUAUCUUGUGGGAAAGAUUCUCGUGUCAAGUUAUGGGAAGUUGGCACUGGACGACUUGUGAAGCAAUAUGCAGGAGCAAUUCGCAGACAAUUUCGUUGUCAGGUUAGAUUCUCCGUGUUUUUGUAAGAUUAUCAUUUUUUCUGAUUUAAAUUUACUCGUGUGUCAUACAUAUUCUUUUUUACCCAAAGUUUAGGAAACAAAAUAUUGCAUUUUUAAUCCGGAAAUAGCCUGGCUUGAGCUUCUAAGGAUAACAACGUACCUAACUUCUAUGAUAAACGAUAAAUAUGAUAAUAACUGUUCUUACUAUCCAGGCUGUCUUCAAUGAAACCGAGGAAUUUGUGCUAUCAGUUGAUGAACAAAACAAUGAGGUAAAUCUCAAUUUCAGAACAGUAUAUGUAUUUGUAGUUCAGCAGGGAAAUAGAGCUUAACUAUGAUAUGUCACUCUUCAGGUUGUCGUCUGGGAUGCACUUACUGCUGAAAAGGUUACAAGAUUGCCUUCUGGCAGCACUGGUGCUCCUAGAUGGCUCGACCAUUCCCCAGUUGAGCCAGUUUUUGUUAGUUGUGGAAACGAUAGAUCGAUCAAAUUCUGGAAACAAACCGUAUAAGCUUGUAGAUUCAACCACGCAAAUCAAAAGAGUAUGUUUUCAGUAUUACUGUUUCAGGAGGAAUGUGCUAGUGUAACUUUAGUUGUAUAUGGGAGAAAUUUGCAUAAGCGAUUUUUUUUUGAAACUGCAUAAGCAAUUGUUUGACCUAAUAGCAAAUCCCAAUCAGAUGUUUUUUUUUGGUUCUGCAGAUGCCAGUUAUAUGAACCAUUGACCUGAUUUUUAUUGGUCAGCCUCCUUUCGAUGUUCUGUUAUUUUUAUCCCAUUGUGGAUUGCGGGAUAUUUCGGUCGCGUUUAGUUUCAUUAGUUUUAAGACUAAAGUUAAGUCCAUAUCGUGUUUGGUUGUAUGGACUAAACAUAUUCUAAAUAUAUUAAAUGUAACAUAUAAAGACAAAAAUACACUUUUUAGUGUUUUCUAUGUAUGACGUCAGUUUUCUAGUCACAGACAAUUAGCGUAAAUGUUGCUUUUUAGUCACUUUUAGCACCCAUGUGAGGGACUAAAGACUAAAACCAAUUAGUCUUUACUUUAGUCCUUCCGUUUGGUAAAAUAAGGACUAAACAAGAUUAAAAAUUAGAAAACAAGAUUAAAAAUUAGAGAUUAAAGAUUAGUCCCUCUAAUCAAAUAUGGCCUUCUUCUUAGGAUGUAAUGUGUAAAUUGUAAUGAUGGUUUCACCCUACCACGUGUGAUGUGGAAACAUAUAUGCCAAUAAAGACUAGUUUGGAAGCCAGAAAACCGCAGGGGAUUGAAAGGGCUAGAACGCUCUACUCCUCCAAUUCCAACUAGACCCGGAGAGGAUUAAAGAGGCUAAAAUUCACUCCUUAUUCAAUUUUAAAUAAGAAGGUGAUUUUAAGCCCUUCAAUACCCUCCGGAUUUUAGACUUUCCCUAAACGUUCUACCAUCCAACAUCUUCCCACCGGUAACUAGCUCUAAACGUUCUCCCACAUCGUUGCAUUGUUUUUUUUUUCAAAAUGAUCUCGUGUGCAACCGUACAAAUGCAACUGAGAGGAGGGAAAUGCGAGACCCUUCAGUCCUCGAAGCUCUCUGGACUGUGGGUGAUUGGGUGUGGUCGUGUGGGCCUAAAAUGGGAUGGCCCAUCCAAGCCCGACCCGUAUUUGCCAGAUUCGAGUGAACUGGAUCCAACUAAACAAACAAUUUUCCCCAUUUGCCAUUCCCGACGAGCACCUUCACCGUCUCCUCCCAGUCCCACCUCGCGUGGCACGCCAUGGCUUUCUCCCCGCGCUCGCCGUGGUCGCGUGCCAAGAAAACCGACGUCUACUCAACCUUCGUUGUCCACGGCGAUGACGAUGAAGACGACGCCCGCGGCGGCAGGGGCCCCUCCACGCGGGCGGAGGAAGACGAGGAGGAAGACCCCUCCUCGCUGCCUCCGCUUCUUCAGCGGCUCCCCAAGGACUUUGGCGGCGCCUCGUUCGACGACGACGAGGACCCCUACUCCUCCGACCCUGACGAUGCUUCCCUCUCUGCCACGGCGGCCUUCAAGAGCGGCGUCCCGGCCUCCGGUCGAUCUCCGUUCCUGGAUCUGCGGCGCUCAAGCCCCCGCGCUACCGAUGACGACCCGUACUCUACCUUCGUCGUUCAUUCCACCACACGCUCGGGGAGAACCUCCUCCAGCCCUCGCGGGUCCGCCUCCGGCACAUUCAUCCGUCGCUCGGGUGGCUCGUCUAGCCCUCGCGAGUCCGUCUCUGGCACAUUCAUCCGCCGGACCGGCAGCCCGUCGAGCCCCGGGAAGUCAGCCUCCGGCACAUUCAUCCGCCGGCCAGGGAGCCCGUCGAGCCCCCGCGGGUCGUUCUCUGGCACCUUCAUUCGCCACACCAGCGGGGGCUCCAGUUCCCAUGAAUCUGCCUCUGGCGGCGGCGGGGGUUUCGGGUCCUCUUUCUGGACUCCAGCGGUGGAGCAGUCAGAGGAGCUCCGGCAGCCAUCGCCUCUGAUGCAGCAACAACAGCAACAACAUUCAAGGCGGAAGCCAUCGGUCAGCUCGGUGCCAGACAGUGUUACCAGGGAGGAUCCUUCCACCAAGUACGAGCUGCUCCAUGAGCUUGGUGCGACUCUUGCUCUGGAAUUAUUAUUUCAUUAGUUCUUUAUAUGUCUUUUUGUAUAAUGCCUGAAAUUUUGAGCUAUUUUGCGCAAUGCAAAUUCAAUUGGAAAUGCAGGGAAAGGUUCAUAUGGUGCAGUGUACAAAGCAAGGGAUCUCAGAACGCAGGAGCUUGUGGCUGUCAAGAUCAUCUCAUUAACAGAAGGGGUUAGUUUCUAGCUUCUUAUUACAAAGUUCUGUGAAUAUUCCGGAAGGCUACCCAAGACAUAUUUCAUAUUUGGCAACCAUAUUGCUUUUGUUGUGAGCAUUUUGUUUGCAUGGGCUUAAUUGUGGGAGAAUCUCAUAAAUGUGGUUGCUUUCUGAUUUCUGAGUCCUUGCAUUUUUGUCUUUAAAAUAUAAGCAUGUAUCUCUGGCAUUCAGGAAGAAGGCUAUGAAGACAUACGGGGAGAAAUUGAGAUGCUGCAGCAAUGCAGCCAUCCAAAUGUUGUCCGCUACUUUGGAAGCUACCAAGGAGAGGAGUACCUAUGGGUAUAAAUAAUCAAAUAGCCUGCUUGUAUCCAUUUUAUUAAUAUUAGGAACUAGCCAAACUUUUCUAUCAUUGUGAGAUUUAUCUAGUUGUCAACUCAUUUAACAUGAUCUUGAUGCAAAUGUGAUUCUCAACCUACAGAUAAUUAUGGAAUACUGUGGUGGUGGAAGUGUUGCUGACUUGAUAGGCAUCACAGAGGAGCCUCUUGAUGAAUCCCAAAUAGCUUACAUUUGUAGAGAAGCACUAAAGGUUCUAACACCACAUUUGUGGGGCAAUUAAAUGUCUUCGGAUAUUUAACUUUUGUGUGCUUAUUUUCUUCUCCAGGGCCUUGCUUACCUGCACUCCAUUUUUAAAGUUCACAGAGAUAUUAAGGGGGGCAACAUCCUUCUAACUGAGCAAGGCGAGGUGAAGUUGGGUAAGCACAUUUGUUUGUUCAUUUUUUUCAUUUUGUUGGCACUUGAUAUUUCUGCAUGUCUUGACUUCUGUGUUUGACAUGCUCAACAAUGUACAAACAGGUGAUUUUGGUGUAGCUGCCCAGCUGACAAGAACCAUGUCAAAGCGCAACACGGUAUUCUUAACAGUGUUUCUUUUGCUACUUCAAAUUCCAAAGUUCAAGAAACUUCACAUCGAUGUGACAAACAAAAUGAAGUGCAGAUGAAACUUGUCAAUGCCAGUUUACUAUAAGAUGCCCCAUUUGUGCUUGUGCAUGGUUCUUUAAUAUGAUGAUACUUUGAUGAGAACUUGAAACAAGUUCGUGUUGGAAAAUGAUCGAUGUGAAGUCCUAGCUAUUUCUGUUAAGUGUUAUAUUGAAAAAUAGGAAUGUGUAUAUUUCAUAUAUAAUAUAUCUUGCUCAAUUCUUCCUUGGCAUUCUUCUGUUUUUCGAAACCCAUUCGUGACAGCCUCUAGUCCCCAAAUAUCCCAUUAUGAGUUUGCUCAUUCCCCCAUUUGGCUUCUUCCUUGGCCACUAGCCCACCACUCAACAAUUCUUCUGUUCUUGAUGACUGCGAGGCUCAUUUCAAGCUGGCACAUUGCUGCCCUGCUGGAGCUAUUGGAGAAAGUAGAGGGUUACUGUGACAGUAGCAUAUCAAAUCAACAGUUGUGGAAAUCAUAAUAUAAAGACGUCCAAAUUGGGAAAUAUUAUUCAGGGUGUUAUCAUCCUACUGGCAGGUGGCCCCUGCCCAAUAUGUCAUCUUCACUAUGGAUGGUACUUUCAUCUUUUUUCCUCACUGUUAGGGAGUUGGUGCACUGGGAGUCCAAAUCAGCUAGGGUAGUUCAUAGUUGGCUAGAUCUAGGAGGUACGUUGAGUCAGAGUUUGGAAAAUCAGGGUAGAGUACAAGUUCAGGUUCUCUAGGACGAUGAUAUAAUGUAGUACUAUACUAUAAGUGUUGUGGUGGCUGUUUUUGAGGAAGGUAAUGCUUGGUGCUGGGCUUAGGGGCCUGCUCUCACCACACCUAUAGAAUAGUUCUUGGUCGUCGUCCCCAGUACUGCUGCCAGUGUUGUUCUAGUGGCUGGGGUGUGUUUUGCUAGUCAUGACUGCCCUGACUGGCCUUGUGUUGGGGGGGGGGCAUUUGUUGUCCCCCCCCUUGUUGUAUUGUUUCCUUCUUAAUGAAAUGACACGUAGCUCUCCUGCGUUUGCUCAAAAAAAAAAGAAUUGACUGGAAUUUAUCAAUAUCUAGAAAGAAACCAAAAGAAAAAAAAAUCAAUCUACUCCCUUUCUACUGCUGUUGAUACUUCUUGUUUCUCUUCUACACGUUCUAGGCAGCUACACUUCUCUAGUUUCCAACCAUGGCAAUACAUAAAUGCUUGAGUAACCCAUAACUAAUAGUUCUACAUCCAACCAUUUCGUAGUAGUGUGCCGGAAACAUUUGGUGUCCUCUUCUUGAUGGUAUCCAAUAUCCAUUGCUUUUCUGCAAGCACGCACAAGCAGACACUUCUAAGUACACAUACUGAUUUGUUGUCAAUUUGUCAUUGACAUGCAGCCAUGCUUUGAGCCCAGAUCCAUCAUGAUCGCACAACACAAAUCUACAUGUAUACGGUGUCUUGGAUGUUUCUGUUGUUGGGGCGUUAAUAUAUACUUCAAUCAAAAUGCAAAGAUAAAACUGUCCCGAUUUUACAGUAAAAUAACUCUAUCAACAGACUGUCAGCAUUGCUCUCUAACCUCAGUCUGUAUGGCUUUUGCCAAAUAAAAAUAAUGCAGUGUUUUUUUUGCAAAGAACAAAGGUUUUAGUGGCACACUAAUUUCCAUUAUUUGAUCCUUCAUGUUAAUGCUUUCAGUUCAUUGGUACUCCACAUUGGAUGGCACCAGAGGUCAUUCAAGAAAGUCGUUAUGAUGGAAAGGUAGCAUGCUAUUCUCUCUGCAGUGUAUAUCUAUCUAUGGAAUUGUUCAUCUUAGCAGCAUUUAUGGAUGUUGCCAUUUCACUCUAUCACUUGGCCCAUAAAUUUAUGAUUGGGUUUUUUGCUGAGUGAUUUCUUUAAUAUUUUGUUUGUUUGGGUGCGGACUGUGGAAUGUCUUUACAUAUGGCAAAACAAAGGUUACGUGUAGCUGCAAAGUCAUAAAAGCCAGUAAACAAUUUAACAAUUGUUAUGACUUAUGAAACCCCUGCCUAGUGCCAAAACAUGUUAUUUCUUUUCCUUGUCUCUUGAUAGUUCCUCUAGUAAAAAAAUAUUACUUACUACUUAACCUCUAAAACAUGCCUACUGGUUGCAAUGUGAGAAAAUUGUUUUUGCAGUUGGAUUCUUUCUUUAAUUUGUCUUACUAAAUCAUGUGUACUUGUUUUCUGCGCCAGGUAGACGUUUGGGCAUUAGGUGUAUCUGCAAUCGAGAUGGCAGAGGUAGACAUUGUUCUUUGUUUUUUUCUUUUGUGAAUUUACACCUUUUCCUUUUUGUGUCAUCACAAUGCUUUUUAAUAUUUAUUUUGUAUCUGUAGGGCAUGCCACCAAGAUCCACUGUGCAUCCAAUGAGAGUAAGCGGUGCUUCUCAAUGCGUUGUCAGUAUCUGCAGUUAAUGAGGCUAAUAGGCUGUAACCUGUAACAGAAUAAACUGCUCUAUCUUUGGUGCAGUGUACUUGUCUCUUUAAUUUCAUUUCUGAUGCAUUUGUUUUAACUUCAUCUUGCUAACUAUUUGGUAUACAUAUCAAUCUAUUAUUUCAUUUUCGUUUAGAUUGAUAGACUGGCUAACGGUCUCUCUUCCCCCUGCCUAUCUCAGGUUAUCUUCAUGAUAUCUAGUGAACCAGCACCUAUGCUGGAGGAUAAAGAGAAAUGGUGAGUGUUUUCUAGUAAUUUGAAUACGGGACGGACUCAUCAGAUCUAAUAUUUGCAAUAUCAGAUUUUUAAGUGCCUAGAAAUAGGGAUUGGCCCAGGUUUCUUGUGAUCUGCAAUGAAAUCAAUAUAAACUAGAGGCACUAAUCCAAACAAGCUCUUACUGGGAUUGAAAACUGAACAGUUAUUUGUCAAUACUAUUUUCCCAGAACUCCUUUUAUUUGUUUGGAUUUUGGGCAUACUGUAGCUUGAAGAUACAGUAAAUAGUACCAAAAGUGAAAAAAAAACAAAUGAGCAGAAAAAAAUGGUGCCCUUUUAUUAAUUGAGCUCUUGUGCUAUCUCCAUCCUCUUCUGAUUGGCUUCUACAAUCGACUGAACAUUUUGCCUAUGAUCAGAGCAGUUAUGUUGCCUGCUUAUUUUACCUUGUUGGCCUGCAUAGUAUGAGAGAGUAGCUAAUUCUAGUUACAACUUGAUGGAAGUUACAGCCAGUCAAUAUUUUUUCUUGAACUGCGCAUGGGAGCUGCAUGCCAUUUCAUUAAGACUUAAGAGAGAGAAAAGAGUACAAGAGCGAGGCGAAAACAACUCCACCCAGACCUAGUUAUAUACAAAACCCACACCACUGACUAUAGGACAUAACCAAGGGAGAUCAAAUCGCCAACCAGAAACUAAGGGGGUGUUUGAUUACCUGCAUACAUUGGGGCUAGACUCCACGGAUGCAGCUACCGAGCAUUUGGUUGCCUGGUUGGAAGUUGGGGCCCGUCCCACGCGGUGCAAGAUUUCCUCAUGAGCCAGGCUCUAAUCAUGCGGCAAAAAUCCUCGUUUCUAUGCGGCCAGGUUCGCUCAAGCGCAACAAGCGCGCUGAUGGGAAAUGUCAGUGAGAACUGAGAAGAUGCCUGCAUGCAGCUAACCAAACGAAAUCUCUGAGUAACCAGGUUCCGUGUGUACGAUAACCAGACACCGCUCAUGUGCAUGCGCUCAACCUGGCUACUAGGAGCCUGGCUGCCCAAGUACAACUUGGUUCAUCUCAAAAGGGAAACAAACAUGCCCCAAGGUUCUGUGGCAAUCAACCUUAGGAGCAUGUCCUGGAGGUUAGAAGCACCUGUCAUGCACCAAGAGCUACAUUCAUCAGGUACCUUUUGUAGAAGGCUCUGAAUAUUAGAAGGCCCCUCAAACACACAGGCAUUCCUAAAUUUCCAUACUUCUCAGGCUACCAAACUAAGAAGGGAAUUCAGCCCCUUGCACAUCUCCUUGAGUGUAUUUCUAAUGGUGACCCCUCACCAACACACGGGCAUUCCUAAUUCCUAAAUUUCCAUACUUCCCAGGCUACCAAACUAAGAAGGGAAUUCAGCCCCUUGCACAUCUCCUUGAGUGUAUUUCUAAUGGUGACCCCUCACUAUCUAAAGAAAUGAGUUGCAUUGACUGGAGGUGUUCAAGCCACCAUUGAAAGUUUCUGAAAAAAACAAGGACCAAACCUGCCAUGUAAACACACAGGAGUUAAGGACGUGCUAGAUUAGUAGAUUGUCUCCUCAGCCUGCCCACACUUGGUGAGGUGGUCAAUCGUCCAACACCAAUUAUUGAUGGUUAAUCAAAGUGUUAGAGUACCCGCUUAGGGUUUGGGGUUUACCUUCUCACCCCUGUGUAAUGGGCUAGGCCCAACUAACUCAGUCUAUUAAUACAUCACCCAACCCCUUGUUAGGGUCAGGGCUUCCACACAAAGGAAGGAUUUGCGUUUGAGAGGGGCCCUGCCCCUGCUUUUCGAGAUCCUUUUCCGCGGACCAAACAUGACAGUCAUACAGUGUUUGGUUCGACAAGCUGCUAAUUUUGUCCUUUGCUUUAAGAUUUCAUAGACCCUGAAAACAUCGGUCUCCUCGACAUAUAUGAAAUACCAUAUUCGGGACUCCUAACUUAUUUAGAGCAUACAGAUCUUUCUGAAAGAGGGAAUUGCACAACUAUUGGCUACUAAAUUUUAUUUUAACAAUUUGCUCAGACAUUAUCACACUGACACUUGUCGGGUUCUUCUUUCCCUUUAAUCCGACACGUAUGUCUUUGUCGUGACAGUGUUGUGUGUGUGUGAACUCUCUUCUAUUAAUGAAAUGGUACGGCUCUCCUACAUGUUUGAGAAAAAUGUAAGGCAAUAGAAGUUUUAAGCACAGUUGGCCUAAGUUCUUGUUACCUUGAUUUUCAGGUCUCUCCUCUUCCAUGAUUUUAUUGCAAAGUGUCUUACUAAAGACCCCAGACUUCGGCCUGCUGCAAUUGAGAUGCUGAAGGUACUUAAUUUCUGCUCAAAGAUGACAUUUAUGGUGCAUUUUCGUGAUGUCUUAAUAAUAUAUUUACUUGUUUCUAUUUUGUUGAAAUUCCCUCUGCAGCACAAAUUUAUUGAGAAGUGCAAUAGUGGAGCUUCGAAAAUGUUGGCAAAGAUCAAGGUAGCGAAGAAGAUUAGAGCCACACUAGCUGUGCAAAAUGAGCUGUCUGACCCUGACAAUGUAUGUCACAUAGUUUGUGUUAUGUGUGUUGGUUAUGCUAUUUCACUCGACGUUAGUAUUUACUUUGGUAUCUGCAGACAACGCAAGAUGUGCCUUUUCGAAUAAAUGAGGACUAUGGGGAAACUGUCCCUACAAGUUCUCAGCAACACAUGAAACAUGGCACAUAUAAUGAUUGUCAGGCAGGUAAUUUUCCUUUUUUGGGAUUUCUUUGUUUAACUAAUGCAUGAGUCAUAGCAUUCCUUUUGAAUGGCUUGUUUAACCAAUACAUGUAAGAUUAAAACCGUCUUUUUUUCUGAGUCUUUGCUUAGCAACUAUGAUGUCAAUUCAAUAUUACACAUUUUAUGGCUUGCUCGUAACUCUUUGUAUUUAUUUUAUUUAAAUAGCUACUUAGAAGUUCUUACCAAUAUCUUGGUGGGCAGGUUGUCCUAUUGUUCCUGAAUGGGACACUUAUAAAUAUAGUGCUGUUUCAUACUAACUAUGACCCCUCAUAUAAGUUCAUCAGGACAUCAACACAUCUCCAAUAUGGCACUUUGACUAACACAUUCAUAGAAACAUAUUCUGGAAUAUUAUUGUACAAUCAAUCUAUUGGCAUCAGUCUUAUGUGGUAUCUGUACAUUUAUUUCAUUUACAAACUGAUGGUCCAAGCUAAAAAGGUUUGACUUAGGAGUUAAGACUAUGGACUUAUAUGUUCUUGUCUUUUGCUAUUAGCUUUGAAACGCCCAUGAUUAUUUUCCAUAUAGGUGAUUUUGGUACUAUGAUUGUUCAUACUGAAGAUGGGGACGAAGUGACAGAAUCACCCAUUUUCCCAAGAACAGAAUUCAUACCCGGCCUUGGUAGCAUCAAUUCUUUCACACAUGAUCCAAAGAGAGCAGAACUUAUUUCAAGUUUUUGGUAUGAGAAACAUAAAUUUAUCUUAUUGUUUGUGUUGUCAGUCAUUGAAAGCAGCUUAACAAGAAGGUUUUAUUUAUCCCAUCACAAAUCUUAUGCACAGUUUCUUGAUAGGGCGGAGAACAUAGGUGAUAGUGAUGCCAAUAAAGACCGAGAUACAGAUUAUGGUCCUGACAUGCAGGAAUCAAAAGUGAUCUCACCUUUAACUGGAACAGUGAAGAAGAAUAUUGGUGCAGAAGGGACUAUAAGGUGCCAUGAUAAUCAAAUUAACUUGUCACCAGGACUUGCAAACACAACAACUAAAUUGAACAACAGCCCAAGCCGUAAAGCGUUUUCAGUUCAGGAUAAGGUAUAUCCUUCAUGGUUUAGACAUCAGCUAUUUCCCCCCUAUGUCUGAACUAGGCCAAAGUAUUUUAGUUUUUGCUACUGCUCGCCACUUUAAGCCCCAUGUCUAAUUUUCCAACGUUUCUAUGAUUUUCUCUUUGUAGCUCUGGUCAAUUUAUGCUGCCGGCAACACUGUACCAAUACCAUUUCUUAAGGCAAUUGACAUUUCACCACUAGCUCUAGUAUCAGAAAAUGAAUCAGGAAAUGGCCUGGCUGGGUCAAGUACAAAUGAUGCUUUGGAGGCAGUUAGGGAGCUGUUCAGUGGUGAUGGGCAGGCAAAGAAAGGACGGAAAGGGCAAAACGAAGUAUGCGGCAGAUUCUUUUCUUUAACUCUUGCAGAGUAACUUAUCUUUUAAUGAUUGCAGAGGGAAACUUAGGCCGUUCUUAGUGGGAGUUUCAUUCUCAUUAAAUGACAUACCACCUAAGCAAACAGGAUGACAUGGCAUGCAAUUCAAUGAAGGGGGAUAUGAGUUUCAUACUUUCAUGAGGAUGUAUCUAGACCUAGACAAAUGUUGACUUGACAGCUUUGGAAACAGUGCGAUGGAACUAUCCAUUGAGAAUGACCUUAGGCCAAUUUCAGUGGGGAGUUCUCUAACACAGUUGCCGGGACUGCCACGCCAACUUUUGUGUCUGUGCCAACGGGUUUCAUCCGAUAAAACUCCCUCUAUCUCUCUCCAUAGUUAACCUGGCAAGUCAUCAAAAUUGCUGAUGUGUAAUAGCAUUAAAUGCAAAUGAAACUCAGAUGAAACUCCCAGUGAGAUCGACCUUAGUCUAAUACUGCAUUUGGUGCAUUAGGUCCCUCUUCCUCCGGGUGUGCAUCACAGGCUGACGACAAGCCCCACAUUGAUGAACCUGGCCCAAGCUCUAGCUUAUCAUAAAACGUGAGUUUAUUUGAACUACUCUUCUGCUAGAGUAUUUAUUUUAUCGCAGUAUGACUGAAGUAAAUAGCUUUUCUCCACUGUCUUUAAAUGUUUUAGGUGCUAUGAGGACAUGCCGCUACAAGAUUCACAAGCGACGCAAGAGCAGCAAACGAUACAAAAUCUUUGUGACACACUUCGCACAAUACUGAGGUUGUAGAUCUGCAAGAGUGAAGGCUGCAACCUUUGGAGUUCCGAAGCCUGCAUGGAGCCAAGGGUGAACGUGGCACUGAUCCUGCUCGUGGUGGAGAACUGAGGAUCGAAGGAACGCAUGACAUGUGCCUACCGUGGAGCAGGCCUAAUGGCUUCUGCGUUUUAGCCUGUGGACGCUUUGGUCACUGGAAGCUGGGUUGACACAGGAAUCUCUACGGAAGUGGAAAUUUCUGUCCCUGUUAAUAGCCUCUUGGAGUUUCACUAUGUAGAGACGGCAUCAAAUUUUGCUAAUCAGAUUUUGUGGCACUAACGCAUAUUGUAGCCUGGUUUUGUAUCGUUGUCAAUGCAUUUGUUCUCCAAAUAAAGAGAAAUAGUUAAGCAGAAAUAAACGAAAAGUUAUUUAUGUUGGCUAUUCGAAAUCAUGGGAGGCGUGAUUUCUGCUGUCUUGACCCCGUAUUCCUUGUGUCUGGCCAUUGUACGCCAUGCUUCGUGUUGUUAAGUGUCAGUUUUUUUUAGCGCGCGUGUGAAUGGCGUUGGUUAUAAUUAAUUGUUGAUCAACGCCUGCUUCAGUAGAGGCCGGUGACAUCGAAAUAAUCGGGCUGUUAGAUUGUCUCUAGCAACCUUUUUAUGAAUCUUAUCUCAUCUUUUACCACUCACUAUUUUAAACUUCACUCUAUAGACAAUGCAAAAUAGUGUUUUGUAUGGUCAUAUACAUGCUCUAUUGAUUACAACUUUAGAUCAUCUCCAGACUCAAUGCAUUUUCAUCCCCUUGUACACGCUUGUUGACACUAUCCACCUCCCUAGUGCACUACCCAUCGCAGCAUCGAAAAUGGAAGUUGCUCUAUUAGUUUCAUAUCUUCACUAGCUCUCUCUCUCUUCCUAGCACUCUAAUUGUCGACAUCAUCCAUUCCUCGCGAACAUCACGUUCCGCGGCCAACUCUCUCCGUCGUGGCGCCUUCCACCUCCUCUAAUGCGCCCUCCCGUCCUCCCUUGCAACGAUGGUGCGGUUGAUGAGGCCACCUCCGUUGCCGCCUCCUAUCCACCCAUGCCCCCUCCUCUCCUACCCCCUCCCGUAUUCCCUUGCACCAGUGGUGCGACUACGACAGACCUCCUCUGUUGUCACCUAUCAUCCCCCGCAACGUCGAUUAGGGUCUCAACCCUCGUUGGAGAAGGUACCAUUGGUGAAUGAUCUCCGCCGUGAUGUUUUCCACUGCCUCUGCGCCCUCUCGUCCUCCCCUACAACGUCGGUGCGACUGCGAAAGACCUCCUGCUCCACCUCCUCCAAUGCCCUGCAGCGGUGGUGUAGCUGGUGAGGCCCACCUCCUCUGCUGCCUCCCGUCCUCCCCUGCUCUUUCCCCUUCUCUCCUUCCCCUCAUGUUCCCCUUAAGGCCAUGUUCGGUUCUACCCCAAUCCAUAUGGAUUGAGGGGGAUUGAAGGGGUUUCAAUCCCUAGUAAGUCAAAAUCCCCUUCAAUCCCCUCCAAUCCAUAUGGAUUGAAAAUAACCGAACAAGCCCUAAAGCGAUGGUGCAGAUGCAACCCCUCUCCUCAUUCGCCGGCUCUUGUCCUCCCCUACAGCGGCGGUGCGACAACGGUUCAUCUCGUACUCUGUUGCCUCUUGUCCUCCGCUGCAGCGGCUAUGCGAAUGCAUCCCACCUCCUCUUCCAUCGGCUCUCAUCCUCCCCUACAACGUUAUUUACGAUUUCAGUCGUUGAUAGAGAAGAUCCCACGGUGAUUGAACUGAGCUACCACUCCCCUGCCUCCUCCCUUCUUUUGAUCUCCUUAUUUAUCCUCCAAUGUCGCUCUGCGCGAUGUAAAGUAUAUAGAUAAUGAAUACCCAAGGAGCAUAAACAAUGAAGACGAUGACAGGUGGGAUCAAGUAAUUCAAGUUGAGUAGGAGAACUCGGACUAGACAACUUGGAUUCGGCUGUGGGACUCGGACUUAGAUUUUGUGGAUUCCACCCACAUGUCAAAACUAGAUCAACCUACAUGGACAUAUAAGGGAAGAUGGUGUUUCUUGGUCUGUUUAUGGUACUUGGACAUCCCGAUCUAUAAGGGAACCCAUACGUAAAGGUAGAUAUAGAUCUAGAUUAUAGGGAGACCAUUUUUAGGCCGAUCCUACUCCUUAUCUCGUAUGAUGCCACAUAAGUUUCCUGUAAUUGUCCCCUCCUUGGACAAUAAAAGAAGGGACGAGGCACCCCAAGAGGACAGAACAUUAGAUCGUAAGAAAUAGCCACAAACAUACAUGACAUAGGGUAUUAUCUCGCAUGGAAAGCAUGAACCUUUUUAAAUUAUCCUGUUGCUUUGUGUUUACCUUUGGUUCUCGAUCUCGUGAUCCACCCGUAUAAAUUCAUAGCUAAAAAAUCUUCAACAGUUGGCGCAAUAGGCAAGGGACCAUUGUGCUAAUCAUAUAGUAGAUCCGAAGACAGCCACCACCUUCGCACUGGGACAUGAGAUCAAUUUUGGUGACCUCAAGUUCAUUAGCGACACUACGAGAAGUCUCAAGCACACUUAGGAUAACACUUCGGCAUGCUCUACUUCAUCAGCAUCUUCUUCGGCAUGCUCUGCUUCACCAGCGACGCGUAGGGCACCUUAGGAUAACACUUGACGUCCCAACGACACCAUCACCAGAAACUUUGGGUCAAUCAAAUCCAAUCCAAAAGACGGUGCAACCAUCACAUCCGGUCGAACUCGGACUCUACACCGACUCUGAUGGCUGUGAAGACUCGAACUCCAAAUCCAUGGGGUAUCAGAUCAUGUUCAUGGCAUAUAAUGGAUGAAGAAGCCACCCCUCAUUUGAGCAUGAGGAAGACUCAACACUAGAAGACGUCAGACCCACGAAGAUCUUCUAUGGAGUUGUCGAGAAGCCCAUGACUGAAUCGAGAUGUCGAAUUCGAGGGGCAACCCAUCUACACAACUCCAAUGCAGGACCUGAUUAUAGCGAAGUUCUUAUUAGAUGGCAUCUCACCACUUCUACCUCAAGACAACCCCUAGAAUUUUGAGAACCGCAAGAAGAUCCAAAGCAUGAUGACUUAUGUUGCAGUAUGCACAUAUACCAACGUACCUCAGGUGAUAGCUCUAAAGAGGUAAAAUCUUCCCCAUAAGAUAUUAAAGAAAAGUAUGAUAAAGUUGAUGAAAUAAAUGGGGAACUCAAUACUAGACUUAGAUCUUUAAAAAUAAGACUAUGCUCAUGCUAAGAUUAAUCACGAUAAUCAUGUUAUUGCUUAUAAUCUCUUAUGUAGUGAAACACAUGUUUCUACUAACCAAAUUGCUAAGAUUGUUGUAGCAACAUCAUGUAAUGACUUGAUUGAAUAAAUUGAGAAAGACAAUUAAUACAAGGGUAAGCAAGUGGAAGACAAUAAGCUUCUUGAUGUGAUGAAGAAAACGAAUAAAAAAUGAGAAGCUUGUAAAAUAAUUGGACAUGGUAGCAACUAGAGGAAACAUUGUCAUAGAGAUAAAGGUCAAUCAUAAAUGGAUCUUAACAAUGAAAAGCUUAGGGAAGAGAAUAAAAAGGCUAGCAAGAAAAAGAAUCAUUUAGUUAUAGGCUUGCAAAAGUUCACCAAGGAAUAAUACCUCCAAAGUGAAUUUCUCAUGAUCAUGGUCAUGAAAUUGGACAUAAGUGAUAUUCAUUAUCAAGCUUUUAGAGAGAAGAAAUCACAACCAUAAAACAAAUUGAAGCAAAUCCCUAAGCCCAUAAAUGCUUUGAAUGUGCAAAAGAGGGACACUUUGCCCACAAUUGAAAUGCUACACUAUCAACCCUAUUGCUAAAGCAUUUAAUACCAUUUGCCUUCAAUGCACACUAUUUGAUUAGAAAAUAUACUAGUGGAAAGGUUAAGGUCAUGUUCUUAGGUCCACCAAACAAGAAUAGGCCUAACGAUAUUUUGGUUACUAAAUCUUUAGUUGAGAAGGUUGUAGGCUCUCAUCAAGUUUGUGUUCCUAAACGUCAAGCUUGAUCUUCCUUGUGUGUAGGUGAACUGAUAGUAGACGCGGCCCGAUCUUCCGUGAGAUACGAUAAUUUGAUUGAGUGGAGAUCUCGACGUUGAUGGUCCAAGGCUCCGAGCGAACGGUUCAUCGCAAUCACUACACCACGGCUCCGUUGGUUAUCACCCGUGACACACGAAUGACCUCGCCACGAAGGCUUAUCCCUGCAAGCACAAUCAAGAACACAAGCAAGAACAGGAAAGAAACACAACCAAAAUUGUAUUGAUUACGGGAUGGGGUCUCACAAGCCGAUGACGGCGACACUGUUCGAUGACAGAAUUGAUCUAAGCAAAACCCAAACCUAAAUGUGGCGGCGGCUACUGAGUAAAUAGAGUAUUAGGGCGUGUGUGACCCCUGGACUCACCCCUAAUGGGCUCCGACGCGAUACACGACCCAACGGCCCAACAGACAGUGUCGCAGCACCAAAAUAGAAUCUGAACGCUGACUUGUUUUGACGAUCCCCGUUGACUCCGGAUGAAUUUUAGGGUGGAACCAGUUGGGUUGGUCAGAUAAUCUAGUUAUCUUUCCAACCAUAUCCAAUCCAUCGCAAUCGGAGUCCGGAUGCAUCUUGGGCGUCCUUUUUAGUGCAGACUGGUCCUGGAACCCGAGAUGGAGUCGCAGCGACUCAGACUUGAUCUCCUUCCUGUUGUGGACGCCCUUGCUGCUCCUCCUCAACACCUUGGCCUUUCCCAAGUCCUUGCUGGUCCUCUCCAAGGUACCUAAUCAUCAAAACAUCCAUGGCCCCAAGCGUAAGCUCUGAAACACAGUUGACUAGGGUAGAACAUACCUAGAGAUUUAGCUGUCGUGCACGAGAUCGUGUUAUCGGUCCAUUCAUUGUAUGUAUAGAAGUGAUGUCCUCAUCAUCCCCCUCCUCUUGAAUUGGAGUCGUCCUCGACUCGAUCUCAUCUUUGUCACCCAUAUAUAGCUUCAAAUCUGAAAUAUUAAAGGUGGAACUAACCCGAAAAUCUGAAGGCAACUCAGGUGGUAAUCCAGGGGGUAUCUCAGAAGGAAACACAUCCAUAUACUCUUGCAGAAGGUUAGCAAUAGCCGGUGGCAAAGAAAUAGACGUAUCAUUAAUGGAAUAGAAAACAUUUUUGACACUAAGGCAUAGCAAAGUCCAACAGAGGCAUGUAACUCAUUAAGAUCAGAUUUAGUAGCUAGCAACGUAGGAGUUUUUAACUUAAUAGGUUGCUGAUUUUCAGAGUUCAAAACACCUUUUUGUUUAGCAUUAAUCUUUUUCUCAUGUUCUAAAUGGACCAUUUCAGUGGGAGUCAUAGGAAGCAACACAAUUUUCUUUCUCUUAUGCAUGAAAGUAUAUUUAUUAGAUCUACCAUGGUGAAUAGCAUCAGUAUCAAACUCCCAAGGACGUCCCAGUAAAAGAGAGCAAGCAUCCAUACUCACCACAUCGAAAUCAGCAAAGUCAUGGUAAGAGCCAAUAGAAAAAUGCACCCUUGCUGUUUUUGUUACCUUGAACUUACCGCUGUUGUUAAACCAUUGAAUGUGAUAAGGGUGGGGAUGCUCUCGUGUGGUCAAGCCAAGCUUCUUGAUCACCUCAACGUUCACCAAGUUGUUGCAGCUACCACCGUCAAUGAUGGUAUGUACACGAUAGUCCUUGACGAUGAGGAACAUGUUGAAGAGGUUGUGGCGCUGUCUGUUGUCAUCGUCACUAGCCGUGGUACUCAAAGCUCGUUGCACAAUCAAGGCCUUAUAGGUCUCGGUCGCUGUUGUACCAAGAACCUCUUCAUCACCAUCAUAAGUCUCUGCAAUGUUAGCUCCAACAGUAUCUUCAUCUUCAACAUCAGAAGCACUAACAUACCCACCAUCACCAGUAGCAAUGUAUGCCCGUUUGCUGGGGCAAUCUCGCUGAAUAUGGCCAAGUCACUGGCAGCGGUGGCACUUGAUGUUGGAGGAGCGGCCUGUGGAAGAGGUGGUCGUAGCAGGUUUUGCUGCAACACCCGAAGGCACGUCGCUGGUGGAGGAAGAUGUGGACGUCCGUACGCCCGAAGAGGAUGACACCUUGGUUGGCGCCGGUGGCUGGUGUGGAGCGAAAGUGCUGCUCCUCCGCUGUUGACGACCCUGCAAUUCUUUUUCUGCCAACAUAGAAAGAUGGAACAAGCGUUGUAUAGAAUGAUAUUCUUUAUAAUCAACAAUAUCCUGAAUCUCCUGCCUCAAUCCCCCAUAAAACCUAACCAUUUGAUCCUCCGGAUCCUCAACUACCCCACAUCGUAGCAUACCUUUCUGAAGCUCUUGGUAGUAUUCCUGUACCGACAUGUCUCCCUGAUCUAAGCGUUGCAAUUUUUUUCAAAGAUCACGUCUAUAAGAAGGGGGAACAAAGCGAGCUCGCAUCUCCUCUUUUAACGCAUUCCAUGUUUGUGGUGCAGCACGUGUGUUAACUAGUUCAUUCCACCAAAUGAUAGCAAAAUCUCUAAAUUCACUAGUGGCUUGUCUAACCCUAUGCUGCUCAUGAACAAGAUGGGAAUAAAUUUUUGUUCUACCGUCAUCUCCCAGUCUAAGUAAGCUUCAGCAUCAUAAGAACCCAUGAACGGUGGAAUAGAGAACUUAAUCUUAGCAAAUGGAUCAUGGUCUGAUUGAGGAUUAUGAUGACGACGUCUACCAUUACCUCCCAUACCUUGUUGAUUACGUGCGAAGCGUUGUGGCAGCGGUGCAUAAACAUCGUCGUCAUCGUCGUCGUCCACAUGAGAGUGAGAUGGGGCUGGAGUUGGUGGUGGGGGAUGAGCCUCCAUUACGUCCAUGCGUGUAACAAGUUUAUCAACUCGUCGAUCAAGCUGCUCAUAGGAUGUCGAGGCAGAGUCCUGGUAUUUUUUAAAAGCUUCAGUCAUCGUGCGCAUCAUCUCCUUCAAUUCCAUCUGAGAGACACACUCAUCUUCGUUAAGUUUAGGCCCCUUGUCCUUGUCCAUUUGAUUCUUUGGUCCUGUCAUUGUUAGCACAAAACAGAGACAAAAAGGCAACAAACAAUGUGAACCCUACAACUAUCUCUUAGGGUGGUGGUGGUGGUGGAAUACAAAUUAUGAAGCGUCUUACCCCGCUCUUACAACGUUCUUACCAGCACUGCAGGUGGCAAACGGUAACCAGUGUGAUUGUCCAACGAGCGUGGGUGUGAUUGCAAAGGAGUACAUGUUCUGCUCGAGAGAAAACUGGAGCUAUGGGAAGGAUGACUAAAUAUAUAUAUGUGGCACACAAGUCAGUAACAGAUAGCAAUGCUGAAUAAGUGUUCCAAGUACUCGUCCUAUUUGCUGGCCUAGAAAAUGUAAUAGAACAGUUGGACCAAGGCACAAGAAAGGAGGUACAAGUAUAUGGGUGCAGCGAGAAAACAGGCUUGGGGCAAAAUAACCACAGAGGUGCACAGAACACUGGCGUUUCUGGUUAUGUGCUACCCUUCUUUUUUUUACGAUUUUCUUUUUUUUUCAAAUAUUUUUUUUAUAUUUUUCUAUUUUGCAGCAGCACAUAAUAAGAUAACACAUCAAGUUUCAGAUUUUUUUGUGCAAUGACGCGUCCUCUGGAAUUUCUGCAAGUUUGCCCUAAAAUCGGAAUAAAUGUUUGAAAAAUGAAAAGUCCUAUUUCCCAGCCGAAUUUGGGAAUUUUAAAAACAGCAAAUCCGACAAAGCCGGAAAGAAUCGGAUGCAAAAUUUAAUUAUGUGCGAUUUGAAAAAAAAUGGGCCCAAUUCGAGUUCCGAGGCGAAAGUUAUGGCCGUUUUAAGUUUGGACUCUGAAUCAGAGUUUCUGGCGAGAUGUUGGAAGAGUGGGGGGGUUCGGUUUUGUGGAUAGAGUCGGUUUUAGAGAUAGGAUCUAUUUUGUAGAUAGGAUUGGUUGUUGAGAUAGGAUCUAUUUUGUGGAUAGGGUCGGUUUUAAAGAUAGAAUUUGUUUUGUGGAUAUGGUCGGUUUAGAUACAUGAUCUGUUUGGAGAUAUGAUCGGUUUUAGAGAUAGGAUCUAUUUUAUGGAUAGGGUCGGUUGUAGAGAUAGGAUCUGUUUUGUGGAUAGGGUCGAUUGUAGAGAUAUGAUCUGUUUUGUAGAUAGGGUCGGUUUUGUAGGAUGGAAGCGGAUGGACAUAAUCAAACUGAACCAAAACAAAUCUAAUCCAGCAACCAAACUCAACUAGAACAUGAACUCAGAAAUGCGGACUCUAAAACUGAAUUGUGCAAAGGCUAAGGCGAUGGUUUUAGGUCGGAAUAAACUGAUCAUAAUUUUUUUGGCUUUUUGUGGACUAUGGGACGAAACAAAACUAAUCUAAAGGUAGGAUUAUACCUCACGGGCAACCUGGAAAUCUGGUACCAAUUGAUAGUAGACGCGACCCGAUCUUCCGUGAGAUACGAUAAUUUGAUUGAGUGGAGAUCUCGACGUUGAUGAUCCAAGGCUCCGAGCGAACGGUUCCUCGCAAUCACUACACCACGGCUCCGUUGGUUAUCACCCGUGACACACGAAUGACCUCGCCACGAAGGCUUAUCCCUGCAAGCGCAAUCAAGAACACAAGCAAGAACAGGAAAGAAACGCAACCAAAAUUGUAUUGAUUAUGGGAUGGGGUCUCACAAGCCGAUGACGACGACACUGUUCGAUGACAGAAUUGAUCUAAGCAAAACUCAAACCUAAAUGUGGCGGCUGCUGCUGAAUAAAUAGAGUACUAGGUAAAUGCCCGUGCGUUGCAACGGAAACAUAUAAUAACACGAUAACUUAUGUAUAAAUAUGUCGAGAAAAUGUUUUGUAAUCCAUUUAUGAUCUUAUCCAUACAUAAAUUUUGUUAUUUUAAUAUAACUAUUUCAUCACUACAUUAUAACCAUCAGUAUCAUACAUACUUCUAUUUAUGAUUUUAAUAAUGUCAUGUCAAUUGUAUCAUUUAAAUGCUAAGACUAUCACAAUAAAUUACAAACUUAUACAAAUCUUCAGAAAAUAUCACAAGGUCUUACAAUUCAAACGAUGCAACAAAUUAAAAAGCGUCUAAAUCAAUGAAAGCAGUGCAGGUUAGGGCAAUGUAGCAUGAUAUGGAAUGACACAAGAUGACUUCAGUGCAUCUGCUUAGCUUCUCGGCAAACAAAUUUCACUGCAUCUUCUUCAAUUAUUUAUUCCUGCAUGGGCCAUAUAAAUUCCCAAAUAAAUGCACAUGAAUCAAUCAUUUGUUGAUAAACACAGAAACCUUCUUGUUGCAGACAUAAUUCCUAAAUAAAGGCACAUGAAUUAAAUUGACCAUGUAUGCAGACAUAAUUCAGGAUAAAUCACCAUACAUGUUUAAACUGCACUUGUGUGCUUCAUCCAGUAUGAUUAUUGAGUAAUAGUUCGACUUAGGAUUUGAAAAGUUUUCAUGAAGAACAUGUCUACGAGGUAUAUGUAAGAAUUUAAAUCCACGAAUUUAGAAUCAGUGCACUUAUAAAAACAUGUGAAGAAUUUAAAUUUAUGAAUUUAGAAUUAGUGCACCUAUACAAAUUGCAUAACCGACUUGAUCUGUGAGGGCCACCAAGCUAGCAAGCUCUUUCUGUAAAAUAAUAAAUAGGUGUUCUUAUUCACAAAAAACUUCAUAUAUGUUUUGUAUUUGAAGACAAUAAAGAACAUAAAUAACUUUCAAUUAUUGAGUAAAACAACUAACACAGAGUAUGUUGUAUAUCAUGCUACAUUAUACUAAUUAGAUAUCUAGAAACGCAUGACCCAAUGCAUUAACCUCGUCAUUUGACUCCAUAGUUAUUUCUCAAUUCAAGAACAUGGAAAAUUAUAUAAAAUAAUAUUCACUAUUAAGAAACACCGUUUUAGCCGUUGCCAUACACGCAGAUGCAUGUACCUUCUCUUCCCAAACAAUUAGAAAGGAAUCUGCAUGUACCUUUUCUUCCCAAACAAUUAGGAGGUGUGUAUCUUAAUAGAUACUAACAAAGUAGCAUUAUUCCUUGCAGUCAGUUAGGCUAUACGAUCAUUGCUUGCAGCAUCUCUAACUAUUCUUUUACUUAAUGAAUCAUGUGUUUUUCAAAGCAUUACUCAACAUAUUUAUACAUGGUAUUUCCCUGAUGGCUUCUACUUCCAUCCCAUGCGAUCAGGAACCCAGUUCAGUAUAUCAUCCAAAUGAUUCCCAUAUCUCUCCUUUUACUAAAGACCCAUCCUACAACCCAACCAAUACAAAGGUAUAUGUGUAAAAAUCUAAAACCUAAUUAAGGAAUAUAAAGAACAUCAAUCCUUCACUUCUCAUAUAUUAUAUUCUUUAUUUGUAUAAUUCUAGCUUCCUGUGACAACUUUUUAACGCACCACUAUGCCAAUAUUUUCAAAGAAAUUCCUCGACUGUAUAAAUAUAUAACAGAUUACAUCUUAAAACAAGAAAAAAGUUUAACAGAUAUCGUGUGUGUAAUAAUAUGUGUUCAACUGAAUAAUUGCUUGAUAAGUCGCACACAAACAGAUAUCGUAUGGGAAGACAUAUGGAUUGUUGUUAGGGAGUCCACACACCUUAUGGGGGGAGAGUAGUAGGGAUUCUGUGUUCCAAGGUGACAAACACAGACAGAGCUGAUCUACAAUCUGAAUCUGAAAAAGAACAAUAACAAUUCUGAUCAGUAUGACUGCAAGCUGAAAAAAUGGUACAGUAAAUGAGUAUGAUGUUGAGCAAUGCAAAGGAAAGAAAAAAUUAAUAUGAUUCUAUCUCUGGUACCGUGUGUUUUCACAUCCCUAAUAUUUCUCAACCAAAACAACAAUGCACAACCAAGGAAAACAGAAAAGAGGCUCACAAUGGUUUAUAAUUGAAGAACAUGCAAACAUAGUACAAGGGUGUCUUGUUUGGAAUUUAUAAAUAAAGACUGUCUUGUUUGGAGACGCGAAAAUCAUUCAAAAGUGAAACAGUUAGCUUGCAUUACGAGUUGGAUUAACCAAGGAAGUCAGUGAGUAGAUCAAAUUUCCUUGAAUAAUAAUUACCUUGUGACCGAAGAAAUACCCAGCAGGAUCACAUGUAAAGAGUUUUGGAGUUCCUUUCUCAUCAUCAAUGCCCAAAAUCAUGGCAACUGCGUGGGAGAGUAUAAGGGCGGUCUAAGGCUCUAAGCAUUAAGAUAUAUAACAGAAAAUAGUAAAACAUGGCUAUAGGUUCCACCACUCCCAUUUUGUUGUGGGGAAGGAACACCACCCUCAAAUAUGUAAGUCUCAUUGCACUAACCAACUCCAGAAGGUCUCUUGGAAACAUACUCAGUCCAGAUCUGUGCUCUGUCUGCAAUCCUGUGAAUAAACAAGCAUAUGCAGUUGGUUACAUGCAGAAGAAUCCUGUUUAAAUACAGAAACAUGCCAGGUUACUGAAAAAUAUCAUGUUUAUAUAUAAAUCGUCAUUGAUGAAAGAAAAAAUAUUAUACAUAGUAAAUAUAAAGAUAGUUUUGGUUUGUGACGACCGCUCCCUGUACUGUACAAGUGUGUGAAAUUCACAGGCCCCACUUAAUUUCUUUCCUUCACCUUAAUGUGCAUGAUCAACAGACAGACAAAAUAUAUAUGCAUAAAUCAGGAUAAAUACUUUUGAGAGGAUAUCUUAGUGUCCUCUCAUACAUCCAACACGACACUGAACAUGAGUGAGAUUUAACUAAUGUUACAGACAGAAUUAUUUUCAUGUCAUCAAGCAAUUAUAGGCACUGCCAGUCUGAAGUCCUGAUAUACUAUAUAUUUCCUUGAGCUCAUUUUUUACCAUUGUGCCAAAACAUCAUGAGGCAUUUCAUAUCCCCAAUUGAAACAAAAUUCUGUAGUUUGAUUCCUUGCCUCAUGUUUGGAUCUCCUAAAAAAUGAGAAUGUGAUCCAAACACUUGGGUGCUAGAAUUAGAUUCUAGAAUCCAACUAUGCAAAGGCAAUAAUCACUAUGAGAAAGAUCCGAACACCCCUUAUCCAGAUUCUACAUCCGCUGUCUAGAAUCCAGAAUCUCACUCUGAGAAUGAGUUCUGAGUAGGCCCUUAGACUUGCUGGUUACUGUCAGUGGUAUCUGAAAUCUGACAAGAUCUUAUUUUGAUAGUUUCUCUGCAUAAAUUAGUGGAGAAAUGUGAGAUUUAGGUCCUUUCUCAGUGUAUGAUAACUCUGUUGUUACUUAUCAUCAAAAGCUGGUUGUUUUGGGGUUUUCAGGUUGGGCUUUUGCUGAUUAAGUUUUGCACCGACUGGCACCUCUCUGGAUUGGGGCAAGAGGGCUUGAAUUUACAUGGGAGUACAUAUUUAAAGGACUUGAAGUGAAUGCUAAUCUUGUAUGCACUCAAUACUAUGCGAAAAUAUAAUGUCAGAUUCGUUGACUUGAAAAAUUGUAGACUGGUUAGUUAACCUUAAAAAUUGUAUGCAUCAUAAUUAGGCUGUCAACCUUAAAAAAUCGGUCUCUGUCUAGCACCUUCUAAACCCAACCCAUAUUCAUUAUAUGUAGCGAACAUUCAAAAAAGGAGCAUCAACCUGAGUUCAAAAAAUAGGGGUUGUUGCACCAAAAUACACUUUUCGAAGAGAACACAGACAUACACUCUAUCUAUUCUACAAGACACCAUGAGCACGAACUAAACAUAAAUGAAUCUAACCAGCAACAUUCGAUUCCUGGUACGAUCGAAGAAAACACAUGUAUGAGUUCAUUCAGACAACACCAUUAAUCGCUACAAACACUGUCUUUAUGAAAAAAACUAUGUUCGCACAGUUUGACGAAUAUAAAUCAGGACACCUAGACGGAUUAUAAAUACUGGUGAUAGUGAGACAAAUGAAGCUUUAAAUAGAUUAUGUACUGACUGUGUAACCGAAAAUGUGCUCUCCAAUCCUUGGUCCCUCUGAAGGGAUCAAAGGCUCCACAGCAAGUAUGAUCUUCAGCUGAAGAACAGGAGACCUGAGCAGCAGUUUGAUUCGAAAACGAGUAUCUUAAUUAAAACCUUCCAAUAACAUAAUUGCAUUUGCAAUUUGGAGCAGGACUUAAAAAACACAGCGCGACCGUAGAACAGAAGAUCUAUAUCUAACUAAAUCGGUGUUUAGAUAUGAAAUUACAGUAGUCUGCUCAUAAACGUGGACAAUCUUUAUGAACGAGAGGAGGCUCUAAACAAGUAAUUUGUGUGUUAAACAUUGUUUCGUUUAGUUAAAAUAUGUCCCAUUCAGAAAACUAUAUAUGACUUUCAUGUUACAAGAAUGAGACUUUAAUAAGGUUAGAAACGAUUCAACCUGCAAAGUAUGCCCACCACGUUGAGGUCCUCCUCCGUGCGAGCACCUCCUUUAACAAUAUAUUGUCUGCGCGAGCAGAGGUAUAUAAGCUAGACAUUAAAAAAGAGUUAUGCGACAGAUAGGCUGUGGAAAGGAGUUUGCGAUGGUUCCAAGCACUGAGGCGACUUGCAAUAUCAGGAAUGAACAGAUCAAAUUUGUUGUAUCUCUGCCGAGGAUUCAUGGGAAAACAAAAAAAAUAAUGUUGUGUCAAUGUAGUAUGACCAGAUUAAAAAUGUAAGGUGUUGCCUUUUUAAAUAAAUAUACAACAAAUGUGUUUGUUGGUUUAUUAGCAUGCAUAGUCUUUAAGUAAGCAACUAAAAAAUUAUGAGUAAUCCUUGGUUUUUGUACAUAUAUCGGUAUUUGUACAGAUAGACUCGAUCGUCAAACUCCACUUUUUGUAUGUGUGUCAAUGUAGUAUGAAUAGUUACGUUGUUUAACAGUAAACGAGCUGGAAGGGGUGCCACGCGUUUAAGUUAGUUGAUCAUACCUGUUAACGUCAUUGUCAGUAUCAUAAUAUUUGAAAGAUUGAAGAUGUAUCCUUCAAAGCAUGAAGAGGCUGCAUGCAUAACCAGUUGUGAAGCACAUUAGCAAGUGCUUAUUAAUAUAUGCAUGGGACUUGAAGAACACUCGGAUGAGAAAUUGAAGAACACUCGGAUGAGAAAUUGAAGAACACCACUCCCUUUCCCUUGUAUACAACAUUAAUUCAAGGUACUCUUUUUAAACAAGGUCAACCCAUAAUAAAUAGAAGAAACCACAAUAUAGAUGGAUAAGAUCAACACUAUUUCAACUAACCAUACUUUUGUGAAAUCUAUCAAUUCCACUAUAUAUUAAUGUAGAGCACAAAGGUACUGUUGUCACCUGCUUGUUUACUCAUAGCCAAAUCCAUACUCAAAUUUCAGUGUAAAUUUAACAUGCUUGUCCCUCACCAUUGCUGCCAAUGUUGUAUCUAUUCCAAUGUUCUGCAAGUGACAUACCAUAAAAGGAGAACAAUGUGAAAACGUGAGGGAAACAACUCUUCUAAUUCUAUACUCCUAUACUGUAUUAAAACCAUAAAUCAUUGAUAUAUAAGUUUAUGCAUAGUAACAUCCAAUUAGUGUUAUCCUAUAAGAUUAACAGAAGGAAUAUAACCGUAUAUAAAUUAGUACUCCUUGUCUUUUAAAUUCAUCUGAAAUUGAGGUCCUGCGAAAGGGCACAGUGCAAACACAUAGCAAUCAUUGGUGAAUAUGACUUGAAAACAACAUACAAUAUAAACCACUGAAAUCAAAGAAAUACAUAUUAGAUACGUAUCUAAUGUAAUUAAAAUAGGCAUGUAUGUUUUUUAAAUAUAAUGUGGACGGCUCCCCCUCCUCCUGUCGUUCGUUCGUCUUUCGGUGUCGUGGAGAUCAACAGAUCCUUUCUCCGUCUACUGGCAGCUCGCGAAUCGUGAUCGCUGACCGAAGAGCCCGGCCAUCUGGCACGUCGCCUCUAACAACUUGCCUGCAGUGUCAGUGUGUGUGUUUCGUUAGGGAACAGAAGCGUAAGGCUAAUAACUGCAUGGUUAAGAAAAUAAUAAUGACACCCUGUUACAAUACAGGGUUGGAGCCAAAAAACUACUGCAGAUAAUGGAUCCAAAUACGCCAAUCAGCACUGCCAUGUUGCAAUCCUAUAUAAUGUCGCUGAGAACGGAUCUACCUGAUCAUGAUGCACGGGGGCCUACAAGGGUUUUGAUGGUUUAGGGUUGAACUGAGCUGUCUAAUUCAGCUCAUAUGUAUAUUUCAGACGGUCUUCCCUCUCUAACACAGGCCAGAUUUGAUUUCGUUCAUUAUCGAUCUCUGCAGUCUGAACACAGUUUGGCCCUUGCCCUACCUCUAAGAAUAACCAAUGCAGAUAAAGUGAACUAUAAUUUGGGAAGUGAGGGAAUAAAUGCACUUCCAGAAAAAAAAUUCCCCAAAUCAGAAGACGCAUGGGACUUUGAGGUCUGAGCGACCAAAGUGCCUACGCGUCAAAAUCAGAACUGCUGAACCCUCCAAAUCAAAAGCAAAACCCCAGCGCAGAUUGCAGCGGCCAUGCGAAUCUACCCCAAAAGCCAGACAAUUCCCCUCACAGUCCACGAUUCCAUGCACAUGCGCGGGCUUCACAGGAAACAGAACCACGAAUCCGAGUUGCAGACGACGAGGACUUGAAAUCCGGGGCCACGGCGCAGGCGCGAGCCCGGAAUUUCCCAAAUCGAGGGCACGCACCGCACAGGGACCCCGUCCCAGCAAUAACGAGAGACGGGCAUCGCCAGGGCACCCUCCCUCCCUGUCUGCCUCACCUGCUCGAUGUGGCCCUGCGGGAGGUAGUAGACCUUCUGCCCGAGCGGCGGCACGCAGGACAGCGGCCCCGCGCAGGCCUUCCAUAGCUCGACGAACAGCGCAUCCUUCCCUCCGCCUCCGCGUCCUGCUUCCGCACCUGCACGCCCAGGCAAAAGAAGCACAUAAACCUUGUCACAGACAAACCUAAACCCCUUGGAGGGUUUACAGGGGCGAUCAGAGAGAGGUAGGGUUGGGUAGGUUUACGAGCGCGCUGGAGAGGGAGGGGGGCACCGCCGCCGCUGCACAUGGUGGAGAGGUAGGGGCGCCACCGCCACACACGGGAGAGGGAGGGGUGCCGUCGCCGCGUGUGGUGGAGAGGGAGGUGGUCGCGUCGUUGCUUCGUUUGCGGAGAAUGGCAGGUAGGGAGAGAGACGUGGGAUGGGGACGCGGCCAUCGCGCGGGGGUGGCCGAGUGGGGCAGUGCUGAUCGGCGUGAAUAACAGAACAGACGGUGUAGAUUAACAUGCGACAGAACCAGAGAGAGGCAGAACCAGGGAAAGGUAGACUAUUAUUGCUUACUUAAUAAGUAGUAUAGAUUAGGGCGUGUGUGACCCCUGGACUCACCCCUAAUGGGCUCCGACGCGAUACACGACCCAACGGCCCAACAGACGGUGUCGCAGCACCAAAACAGAAUCUGAACGCUGACUUGUUUCGACGAUUCCCGUAGACUCCGGAUGAAUUUUAGGGUGGAACUAGUUGGGUUGGUUAGAUAAUCUUGUUAUCUUUCCAACCAUAUCUAGUCCAUCACAAUCGGAGUCCGGAUGCAUCUUGGGCGUCCUUUUUAGUGCAGACUGGUCCUGGAACCCGAGAUGGAGUCGCAGCCGACUCGGACUUGAUCUCCUUCCUGUUGUGGACGCCCUUGCUGCUCCUCCUCAACACCUUAGCCUUUCCUAAGUCCUUGCUGGUCCUCUCCAAGGUACCUAAUCAUCAAAACAUCCAUGGCCCCAAGCGUAAGCUCUGAAACACAAUUGACUAGGGUAGAACAUACCUGGAGAUUUAGUUGUCGUGCACGAGAUCGUGUUAUCGGUCUAUUCAUUGUAUGUAUAGAAGUGAUGUCCUCAUCAUGAACUACAAGACCAAUUUGAGUUAUUGGGUAAUUGAUAGUAGAUGUACCCAACAUAUGACUGGUGACCCAUGGACAUUGACCUAACUCAAUGAAGGAUGAUCAAGAGAAGGUAACCUUUUGGGAUAAUUAAAAGAGAAAAUCCAAAGGUUUGGGCAAAGUGGCAAUCUCAAAUGAUCACUCAAUAUUUAUUGUUCUCUUGGUUGCAUCACUAAGUUUCAAUUCUCUAUCCGUUGGUCAAUUGUGCAAUCUUGGCUUCAAUGUCUAUUCAUAGAGAAUGAGGUUGUUAUAUCUAAGAAGGAUGAUAAUAAAGUCAUAUUCAAGGGAUUUAGAUACAUCAAUCUAUAUUUAAUGGAUUUAACUUUCGAAUAACUUCUCUUAGGUGUUUAUGGCAUAGAAGGAUUGCUCAUGUUGGAAUGGGGACACUAAAAAUGUUAAAUAAAGAGAUGGUUAUAGGAUUGAAGGAUGUUGCAUUUUAAAAUGAUAAGAUUUAUAAUGCAUAUUAAGCUAGCAAUCAAGUUGCAAAUACCCAUCCUACUAAAGCUUUAAUGUCAACAUCAAUACCACUAGAGCUUCUGCACAUGGAUUUGUUUGGUUUAACAUGUUAUUCUAAUGUGGGAGGCAACCUAUAUUGUCUCAUUAUUGUGGAUGAUUAUUAAUACAUGAUUGGGUGUUCUUACUUUAAGAGAAGUCUGAAGUUGCAUCAAUAUCCAAGAGAUUUACCAAGAAAGCUCAACAUGAAUAUGAUUGUAGAAUCAAUAAAAUUAGAAGUUACAAUGGAAGUGAGUUUGGAAACACAAACAUUGAAUAUUGCGAUGAAGUUGGAUCAAACAUGAGGUUUCUAAAACAUACACCCCUCAACAAAAUAGUGUUGUUGAGAGGAAAAUAUGACAUUGAUCACUCUCGCAAGGACUAUGAUUGUUGUGUAUAACACACUGAAGAGAUUUUGGACCAAAGCAAUCAACACUACAUGUUAUGUAUCAAAUCUGUUAUUUCCUCACCAUCUACUUGAGCAGACUCCCUAUGAGUUUCUCAAUGGGAAGUUGGAUUUCUUCUUCCAGGUGUUAGGAUGCAAGUUCUACAUCUACCAGAAGCGCCAACACUUAGGUAAGUUCCAAAUGAAAUGUGAUAUUGGUUUCUUACUUGGCUAGUCAUUAAAGUCUAAAGCAUAUCGAGUAUUUGAAAGUUCCCUUUGCCGAGGAACAUGAUCUAGAUGUCGCCUAGAGGGGGGUGAAUUGGCGAAUAAAAACUAUCACUUAAAAACUGGAAAUCUUACUCUACCUGAAGUUUGGUUUUAGUUGAAAGAAUAUUAUGUCGAGUAGGUUGUAGUUCUUGUCUCAAUAUAUCCUGCACUUCAAAGACAUCUUAUACCAAAGAUAAGUAUUGAAGUGCAAGUAGAAAAGUAAUCAAGACAUGGAGAUAGAACAUAACAUAGAGUAGAGCACACAGACACAGGGGUUUAUCCCAUGGUUCAGCCAAGCCUUAAAUGCUUGCCUAGUACAUGUUGGAGUUAGCCAAACCUUGGCUUGGAGUCUAUUUCAACUCCUUCCUACGUUUGCCUAGAUCUAUCACCAGGUGGCAGAUCGAGGCUUCCACUAUGUUGAGGUUGGUUACAACAGAGCCGCGACUGUUUACAAGUCUUCACAACACUUCAGCAGAUUAACAAUACUCCCUUGCUCAAGAUCUUACUCACUCUAACUUACAGCAGCACUCCUCUACUCUAUCUUGGCUUAUAACCGUGUCAAUACACAAACUAGAGAGAAAUACACAAGAGAGGGGACAAAAAUGAUUCACAAUGUGUCUACAAAGUACUGAUGCACUUGGGAGCCUCGGACACUUGAUUAUGGGCACCUAGCGGUCCUUUUAUAGCCCCAAAAGAGCCCCUAGUUGUUGCACUUUCUUUGCAAAAAGAUGCCAAAAUGGGUUGACUACGGGCGCACCGGAUCGGUCCGGUGCACCACCGGAGCGGGUCUGUACGCCCCCAGUCCGGGAUCUGAUUGACACUUUCCUUCUCUGAAAUGGCUAGCAGUUGGUGCACCGGUACAGUCCUGUAGCUGGUCCGGUGCGCCACGGACUAAGUCCUGUAGCCGAUCCGGUGCACCACGAACCAAGUCCUAUAGAGGGCCUGUAGAUGGUCCGGUGCACAGGACCGACACUAUAGCCGAUCUGGUGAUAUUUAGCCAAAAAAAACCCGAGACCAGCUAGUUCACUCUUGGUGCACAGACCCACUACUGUAGCAGGUCUGGUGCACCACAGGACCAGUCUUGUAGGAGGUCCGGUGCACACAGACAAGCUGUAGUGAGUCCCUUUUCUCCAUUUCUUCUCCAAUUGAUCUCUACUCUUAGGAGGACUUUCCUGUGACUUACACACACAUAAUUAG
rnacentral:lncRNA from 1 species